rnacentral:lncRNA from 1 species
UGCUUUCUUGCAUAUAACUUCGACUCGGUCGCUGUGGACAGCGUGUAAACGCUGAGGGUAACCUCUGGACUGAUUGUCCAAGGCCCUAGACACUUGCGAAGAUCGGAAAUACAUUUCCGGUGGGUUUUUCGGCGAAAUCCGCCGACGGAACGCGGGUUCGGUUCGGAAUUAUUCCGACGGUGCUUCGUGAGCUAUUGUGUAGUCGUUGAGCCUUAUUGGCUGGUCACUCGCGUCAUUUCAUGAGUUCAGAAAUGACGGAUGAGCGACGGUGGGUUCCGGUGUCGAAAUAGACACUUCCGGGAACCCGGAUCGAAAUGAUUAUCCGACGAUAAUUGUUUCGACGUGAGGAGUGGUGUUUGCUGCCAUGAUACACGAUUACUCAUGUUUAGUGGCAGCGGAUGACUCGUAGCACGAGUCGGUACGUUCCGGGACAGUUCGUGGGUCCCGACGGGGUCCCGGUGCGAUUUCGGGACUUCCGGCGAGUUACGAUAGUUGGUUUUAGGAAACCGAUCAUCGUGGGUUUGUUUGUGAGGUUGUGAGAGCUAGUGGUUUGUUAUUUGUGGGUUAGACACUAACCCAGUGGACCCUCCUUAGGUCCAGUUGACGUUCUUUUGCAGUCAGGAGACAGGCGCAGCAUUUGUACAGGUGGGUACUUCGAUCCGAAGUCGGUACAGUGGUGCACGCUCGGUGAUAUCUCUUCUAUCCCUGUUCUUCUAUUGCUAUUUUCGUAUUAUAUAUUGAGCUUGCAUCCCCGUUGUUUCUAUUAUACUCUACUCAUAUGUUCUAUGCUUAGUAUCAUGUGUAGGAGUAGAGUAGUUUAUCCAUAUGUGAUACCGGUGACCUGGUUGGUCGGUUCUCGUACUUCAUUUCGGUGACCUAGUUGAUCGGUGCUUUUAUCUUAUAUCUGUUGACCUGGUUGGUCGGUUGUUGCAUUAUGUAUUGGGUUGGUCUGUUUCUUGACUUCUGUUGUUCGAUGACCUUUGAGGUCGGUGUACCCUGAGGGAUAGGAUUGUCGGCUGGUGCUGACGGUAGUUCUGGACUAUAUCGAAUACACUCCUGUGACCUAUCGGUCGGUUCUUGCGUUCGUACUUUUAGUUGACAUCGAGCAGUAUCUACAUACUAUCUUUAUUUACUCUGCCUGGUUGUUCUAUGUGUAGUAUCCUGUAUAGGGGUAGAGUAGAUGGCAUUCGUAUAUACUAUACUUGUGACCUGGUUGGUCGGUUCUCCUGUUUGCAUCGGUGACCUGUUUGGUCGUUCGUUACUUUCCGUAUAUUGACCUCUCUUGGUCGGUUCACGUUGUUACUUGAUGACCUACACGGUCGGUUAGCCCCGAGGGGCAGUGAUUGUCGGCUGAUUGCCGACGGUUGGCUAUUGAUCAUAUCCGCAUUGAUCGCCACAGCUCGAGUGCAUUUCACGUACACCAGCGGGUUGAUCCCCCGCAGGAGGGUGUUCUUUUCCGGAAAAGUGGUCGUACAUCCGACCCGUGAGCCCAGCGGUGUUCUCUUUGUGCUAGGGUUACAUGCCAGGUGUGAGCAGAUAGUGGCUUUUGCCUGAGGUCCUUAGACCGACACGGCGGUUUAGAUUGGGUACUUUUGGGACUUCUCGUCCGGUUGACGCAUAUAGCUAUAGUAGCGGUUGUUGCAUAUGUACUUCUAGUUCUUUCUUUACAGUUGUCUUGCUACUAUAGUAUUGAUAUCCUUGUAUGCUUGCAGUUGUACAUACAGUAGCGGUAGUUGUGUUUUCAUAUAUAUAUAUCUCAUUCGUUCAUUAUCGUUGCUACAGCAUUUUACUUACCCAUACUGUUGGUUAUCUCUUCCUGAUCCGGUGAGUACUCCUCGCCUUCUUCGGCUUGCGGUACCCACUGGGAGGGGAGACAUGUUUACAUGUUCUCACCUCCCUCACCAUUUUUCAGGUAUCGCGGGCGAUGAGUAGUGGGACGAGACGUGAGGUACGUGUGUAGCGGUCGAUAGAGCUUCCGACCCAGGUUAUUUUCGAUUUAGUUAUUACCCUCGGUAUUUCUGUUGAUAUAUAGUUUAGUCGGUUUAUAUGGUUCAGUAUUUUUAUUACUUUGGAAAAUGUGGAUUUCUGGAUUUUGUAAAAUAAAAGGUUUUCUACCCCUCGUGGUAGCGUUUUUAAAAGAAUAAAGGUUUCUGUGUAGAAAACAGCUUUCAAAAGAUUUUGUGGAUUUCUGUUUAAACCUCGAAUGUAAAACUGUGUUGUGAAUGGGGAAUGUAUGAACGUAUAGCUAUCUGUAUAUUCAUUUGAUUGUGGUUGUAUACUGUUUGUACUGUUGUACUUGUGUGACGCCGUGCAAGUACAGGGGAAACUCUGUCCGUGUGAACAGUGGAUUCCCUGUAUUUGUGGCGGAUCUGGCAUACUUUGGGGUCAGGUUUUCAAAAAAAAAAUUCAAACGCUUUUCCGCUGUAUUUCAAACAAAAAGGAGACCCCGGGGCGUGACAGUUUUUUAGCCCUUGGAUUGAGAAAUGUGCGGUUAGGAUGACGUGGAGCCCCUAGGGUUGAGUGGAUGGUUGGUUGAAUAGUAUAAUUUAACGUGUAAAAAUAAUAAAAAAGAUUAAUCUAACGGUAGAAAACUUGAUAGCACCAAGUGCUUGGUGCUAUCGAUAGUAUAGCAGCCGGCCUCUACUUAUGGAGGGUACAACAAUUGAGGGCAAAGAUAAAAUACAGAAAUAAAUCUCUUGAGUGAUCAAAAACUUUGAUUUGGUAUAUGGGCCUCUUGAGUGAGCCAGUAUCUGAGGGACUCUACUUUGGUAUACUAGUGCCCUUAAUACUAUUAUGAUGUUUAGAUCUAAAUAGAAUACUAAAGAGAAGUGAUAGCUCCUUUUGUAUUUUACUAUUAAUUUCUAGAUCACUUGCUUAGGAGACAAAAAAAUUGGAGCAUUUUGUCACGGACUUAGCGUUUUCGUUUGCAAAGUCCGUGCGGCACCCACCUUUCUUCGCAGAGAUGGACAAGCCUUUGUCCCUAUUGCAAGCCCGGCCUUUCGCAUCCUACGACUAAGUAUGCAAAGGAAAGAAACAAGAGAAAGAGGCAGACGUUCUCUCAAGAAAACUAAGUACUACACUACUUAGAAAAAGAGAUUACAACAUACAAACACACUCUCUCUUGUGUGCUUUGGCCUUAGCCAACCCUACUAUUUAUAGGCUCCUAAGUACAUUGAAUCUAUCCACUCAACACACCCACUAACUAAUACAUAAUGAGCCCUCAUAAUAGCCAAAAGUCCAAGAGUCACACCAUAACUCAUGGUAACUCAUGACAGUUUUGCAACCCUAGAGUUUUCCACAGCGGGUUGGAUUUGGGUCUCCUUGACAACCUGAUUCAACCCAUUUUCGCUAGCAGAGUUGGGCCAGAGAUCGGGCUGCCACAGAAUUUUUUCUAAGUCCCUGACAACUUGCUCUAUUCGCACACAUGCGCGUGCACAGCACGUGUCGAGUCGAGUCAAGCCGGGCCGGGCUGCGGACAGGCUCAUUUAUACUUAUAUUGAUACUAAAUUUUCUCUGAUAUCGGUUUGUUACGACAAAAGUAAAAAAUAUUUAGUUCAUCUGGCAUGAAAGUACUAAAAAAAAUUGAGAAAGUGAGAAGAAAAAUAAAGCACAAAAAAAUUUACGUGGUUUGAUUAUUAGUCUUACAUCCACGGGCGAAGACGCAGUAGUGAUUUUCAUUAUAAUCAAAUUGAUGUAAAAAAAUGUACCUCUAUUACAAAACUCUAGUCCCAAAAAUACACUCUUACUUUUUCUUAUCUGCCGUACCAAAUUAAUAGAAUAAACGGUAUAUUCAUAACGGUGGUUAAAUCGCAAUACAAUUAGAAAUACAAAUUCACUCAGAUAAAAAAUAAUCUUAAUAAAAUUAGGUAUAAAUUAAACUUAAUUUAAUGGGACAACCAAAACAAAAAGAAUUAGAAAACCUUACGGUUUCAGAAUCCGAGACAUAUUUAACAAUCUCCACCUUGACUUGAAUUUUUUAUUUUCUCCACCAAAACUCCAAAAGCUCAUGAAAUGCUGUUGCACGUACAAACCAAGCUAUAGAAUACUUGAACUUCGUCAAUGAAAGAUACUUAAUGAGGAAAUCCGUGGGGUUCUCUAAAAUGUCAAUAUAUCUUUUUUUUCUCCGGUUAUCCUUAUGCAACCUUUGUUGUAUGAGAAGGAUAACUUACCGUAAAACGAAACUGCUGGAGCGAUCAAACUUCUCAAUCUCAAGUUUUGUCGAUGUCUUAAGCACCCAAACGAAUAAUCUGACUUCAAUACUAGUUUGUUAGAAAUCUGCAACUUACACUAAUAUCAAAUUUGCUUCGAUACCAACUUAUUAUAAAAUGAGAGAAGAAAAAUAAAAUACACAAAUAUUUACGUGAUUCGGAUACUGGUCUAUAUCCAUACUGGUCUAUAUCCAUGAGUGAAGACGAAGUGGAAAUUUUCAUUAUAAUCAAAAUGAUAUACAAAAUAUGCUUAUCUUACAAAACUCAAAUCCGAAAAUAUACUCAUACUGAUUGUCAUUUGCUAGACCAAAUUAUUAGAAUAAAUGAUAUAUUUAUAAAAUGGUUAAAUCCUACAGUAUAUUUAGAUUUACAUAUUGUAUUUAUAAAAAUGGUUAAAUCCUACAGUAUAUUUAUAUUUAUAAAAAUGGUUAAAUCCUACAGUAUAUUUAGAAGAAUGAGGAAGAACGCGAGUAAAAAGACCAAUUGACACAAAACUAGAUUUUUCUUUUAUGAAAAAUGCUAUAUAUGUAUACUUAAAUAUAGAAGUAAAUCUUACGAUACAUUCUUAGGCUUAUAAAAAUUCAUUUGGAUUUUUGUGAAAAAAAAAUUGAUUAGACUUGUAGAAAAAAAUCAGUUAUAAGAAAAAUAAAAUGUAAAAUAAAAGGCUAAAUUACAUAAAAUUUUUCUGUCAAAAUUAGAUUUUUCACUUUUCUCCUCUGCCAUUUAAAAAUCUACACUUUGCUUCCUUAUAAAAUAAAAAAUAUUCACUUCGUUCCCUGCCAUUAGUGAUUGCGUUUAUAAAAUAUUAUUAUAUAUUUUUUUAUGCCAAAAAAUGUCCUCAUCUUUCUCUCCUGUGAACAUGAUGAGGAGUAAAAUGGUGAGGGGCAAAAUAGUUAUUUUAUUAUCACAGUUCACACCGUACCCUAUGUAAAUAUUUUUUAUUUUACAAGGGGAUAAAAUAUAGAUUUUUAAAUAACAUGAAAGAAAAGUAAAAAAAUUAAGUAUUGACAGAAAAAUUUUUGUAAUUUAGUCUAAAAUAAAUACCAAACCUGUGCUGUACCGACUGCGUUUACUCAAAUCAAAUCAAGAGACCGCCACUCCCUUUUCUUUGAGGGGCCGGACAUCACUAAAGGCCAAUCCCACCAAAGACACAAUCUUUAAAAAAAGAAACAAAAAAGGAAAAAAAAAAANAAAAAGAAAGAAAAAAAAGGACCAUGUAGAGACUAGACUCUAGAGGCAAAGUCACCCCACAAAUCAUAACAUCUACUCAUUUUCUUUUGUUGGCACACUAAUUAAUGCACCUCUCUCUCUCUCUCUCUCUCUCUCUCUCUCUCUCUCUCUAUAUAUAUAUAUAUAUAUAUAUAUAUAAAGAAUUCAGUGCUUGCACCUCGUGUAUAAGUACAUCUCAUUGGCAAAGAAAAAAAAAUUUAGAAUUUACCGGAUAUAUUACUGAUCUGACGUCAUCAAUAAUAAAAUUAUCCUGCUUAAAUUAAUACGUCCCAUCAUGAUUAAAAAAAAAAUAUUUUUAUUUUUAUUUUCUUUCAAAUAGAGAGAUAUGAUUGGCUUAUUACUUAUAAUAUAUUGCAAGUGUGAUACAGUAGACUGCCUCCUUAUUCACAGUAACGCUAAAAUCCGAUAAUUAUUGCCUCAAAAUCAAAAUCUAACUCACUAUACGUAUUGUACAAACAGUUAAAAAAUACAUGUAUAUAUAGAGUCAAACUACUAUACAAUUAUAGCACUAAGCAUUUGUUGCUAUCAAGUUUUUCGCUAUUAAAUCUAUCUUUUUGGCCAUUUUCACCCGUUAGAUCAUGCUAUUCAACCAACCACCCACUCAAUCAAAGAGGAUUAUCUUAACUGCACAUCUUUUCAUCCAAAAACUGAAAACCUAAUAGCACAAUAAGUUGAUGCUAUUAAUAGUAUAGUUUCCUAAUUAUAUAUAUGGCUAGGGCUACUAUAUUUUUAUGACUAUAGAGCCCUUCAUACUCAUAAGUUGUUUUCAAUUAUUGAGCUUCCGAAUUGAUGAUCCACUCAGUUAAAUAUGAUCUAGAAUAUUUGAAACUUUUAAAAAAUAAAUUUCGUAAUUAUUUUUCGAAAUCAUAAUAAAAUUCAUCAAGCGGAUAUAAAAUGAACGAUCAAAUUGAACGACGUCUUAAAAAUGGAUGAUCGGAUCCUUCAAUUUAAAAUCGGAAUUAUUGAUCUUUAUCUAUGUAGUGAAUAGAAUUUUCUAUCAAAAAUUCAAUUGAUUUCGAUUCUUUUACACUGUUAAAUUAACAAAUAUUCCAUACCGGCUGUUAAAAAUUAUCAAUUUUGUGGCAUUUUGAUCGUAAGGUAAAUGAUGUCGAAAAAUUAUAAAAUUUGAUUUCUAGAAGUUUUAAAUGUUCUAGAUAAUGUUUAAUGGUGUGGAUCAGCGAUUCGGAAGUUCUAUCAUCAAAAAUAACUUAUGAGUACGAUGUCGAUCGUACUCAUAAAAGUAUAGUAGCCCCACUCUUAUAUAUAUAUAUAUAUAUAUAUAUAUAUAUAGAGAGAGAGAGAGAGAGAGAGAGAGAGAGAGAGAGAGAGAGAGAGAGAGUUAGGCUGCUAUACUAUCGGUAGCACGGAGGCCUCCGUGCUACCAAGUUGUUUUCGAUGAUGCGGCUUCUAAAUCGACGAUCGGCUCCGUUAGACUUGAUUCUACACUAUUAAAAGUAUUGAAAUUAUUUCAUAAUUUUUCGACAUCAUUUGGCUAGUGAUCGAAAGGUCUCAAAAUUGACAAUUUUAAUGGUAGAUGUGAUGUGUUUGUGAAUUUAACGGUGUAAAACAAUCAAAUAAAAUGAAAUUUUUAUAGAAAAUUCUUUUUACUAUUUAGAGUAAGAUCAGUACCUACUGAUUCUUAAAUUUCAAGCUUCUAUCAUUAAUUUUUAUGAGAUUUAUUUACAGCCUGUUCAUUUUAGACUAUUCGUUUGAUAUGUAAAUGAUACGAAAAAUUAUGAAUUACGUUUUCAUACUUUUAAUAGUGUAGAUCAAGUCUAACGGGAGCUGAUCGUCAAAUUUGGAAGCGCGCAUCAUUGAAAACAACUUGAUAGCACGGAAGCCUCCGUGCUACACGAUAGUAUACCAGCUAGCUCUAUAUAUAAUAUAUAUAUAUAUUAUAUAUAGGCUGGGGCUAAUAUACUUAUUUGAGUAAUACAGCCUUUUGUGCUCAUAAGUUUCAACCGUUCAGAUGAAAAAAAUAUGCGAUUAUGAAAGUGGUUACGGUUAGGUUGAUAGUGGGCCCCUAGGGUUGAGUGGGUGGUUGGUUGAAUAACAUAUCUAAUGGGUGAAAAUGUAUUAAAGAAGUAGAUCUAACGGGCAAAAACUUAUGAGUACAAGAGUUCUAUAUCAUAAAAGUAUAGUAGCCGACUCAUAUAUAUAAUAUAUAUAUAAUAUAUAUAUAUAAUAUAUAUAUACUACUAUAUAUAUAAAAUCCGGCUACUAUAAAUGUAAUUAAAAAGAUAUAUAUAUAACUCACAAAUUUUUGACAUUAAUCCUUUAUAAAUCAAACAGUAGUACUUUUCUCUACUGUUGUUUUAAUUUUUAAACCUUUGAUGCCCGCUUUCAAAAUACGGUAUUUUUUAUGCAUUAGUUAUUUAGAUGGUGUUCGUUCCUACCUAUCAAAUCAGAUUUUGAUUUUAAGAUUUUAAUCAUCGAAUAUUAAAGGGCUCUUUAGUUUGAUGUAAUUACAAAUUCAGUAUAAUUAAAAAAACAUGUAAUUAAAAAUAUAUUUUUUAUAAUUAUACAUGUCUUGAUUGGUUGAAUGCAGUAGAAAGCGCUGCAGCUACAAAUAAUCUAUCUAAUGUAAAAGAAAAAAAAAUUUGAUUAAGAGGUGAUCGGCCAAAUAAGCUUAUUUUUCUCUUGAAAAUUAUCUUUAACCAAUUUGGAUGUAGUUUUUACUAUUAGAAGUGAGUUCUUUGUAUAGUUUCAAAUGCAACGAUUGAUAAAAAAGUAAUCAAAUUAACUAAAUAUUGUAUUUAGAGGUUGUUUGGUUUGGUGUAAAUAGAGAGGUAAAAGUUCCAUCACUGUUGGUGUUUAUUUUAUUGUAAGUCAAAAAAAUAAUGCAACUCAAGUUACGUUAAGUGUAUAUUUAUUUCACCGAAACUGGACUUUGGGUUGAAGCGAACUUUGGGUUGAAGUGGAGUUUAGUGAAAAUUAUUUCUUUUCCGCUGUUUGUUUCGUAGCUAUGGAAGUGAAGUUCUAUUAGUUCUGCUGUCUGUUUAGUAGGAAGGAUAUGAUGUAAAAGUAUAAUUUAUAUAUAAAUAAUAAAUAUUUUAAUAAAUAAAAAUAAUAUAAGUAUAUUUUUAUAUAAUUAAAAUUUAAUUUAAAACAACUAAAUAAUUUUUUUAUACAUAAAUUAUAGUAAUACAAUAAUAAAAUUAUAAAGUAAAAAAAUUAUUAAUACUUAAUUAAUCAAUUUUUAUCAUAUUUUAAAUGUACAAACUAAAUAAAGAAAAUAUUAAAACUUAACUAAUCAAUUUUUAUCAUAUUUUAGAUAUAUUAACUGAAUAAAAAAAAUUAGUAACAUGAUUAUGUAUAUUUAAAUAUAACCAUCUUUAUCUAUUAUAUUAUUUUAUUAUUUUUUCUUUAUCUUUUUUCACCGUAAUUGACUUCGGCCCACGAUGGGGCGAAGUCAAUUAUACCGUUUAAGGUUAACUCGAGUUUCGACUGUAACUUUUUUACGGCGAGCCAAACAACGAAAGUGACCGUUUAGGAUGAAAACGAUUUCCCUCCUCUCCACUUCCACCCCACUUCUACCCAAACAAACAUGCCCCAUCCACUUCACCAACUUUUGAUUUCUCCCUCUAGAGUACAAAACUCGAUCAAGUUCCAUCACAAUCACUCUCUAAAAAAUUUAUUAAAUAUUAAAGCCUAAACUCUACUUCCUUUAGAGAGGAUUAGAGUUACUUUCUUUUAUAAUGGGUUAAGAUUACUUCUAAAUAAUAAUGAGUAAUUCAAUUAUUUAAUAGUUUGGAUUUUAUAGAGAUGAGUUUAUCACUAUAUUUAAAAGGCAACGAUAUCCACUUACUUACAUCAAAAUAAAUAAUGAGACUUAAAAAAUUAAUUUUAUCAGCAUUAAAUUACAUCAAAAUAAAUAAAAAAAUAAUUAAAUUUAACUUUCAGACCAUACGAGUUACAUUAAAAUAAACAACAAAAAAAUAACCACACUUCAGAAAAAUGUAAAUACUACUGCACUUGAGUUACGGAGGAUCUAAAAAUUUGUCAAUUUAAACACUUUCUUACAAUCGUAGUGCAAUUAUAACUGUAUGCAAUCGAAUAGUCCUUUAGUGCGGUCCGUAGAGCGCACUUAAUUAAUCAUACACAGGAUGUAGGCAAUAAUUUCUUACAUGUUUAUAAAUUGACUGGUCAAACAUGUGCAUUGAAUUGAAAUGUCUAAUAAGAGGGGACACUUCCUCUUUCAAAAGCUUUGUAGGACCAUUCAUUCCUUUCCUGUUUGAACCUGCAACACAAACACACAGCCCCACCUAGAAAGAUACAAAUAGGGCCAAUUUUUUUUUUUUGAAUCCCGCAACCGCAACGGUCAUCUAAAGAUUGAUGAUCAUGAUCAUGAUCAUCAUCACCAAUUAUUCCACACCAUAAUAACCUCAGGCUAAAAAAUUCACUGACUAUCUCCAGCGCAGAUGACAAAAGACUCAAUAAUUAAUAUCCAAACUUGUAAAUUCGAAAUAUAAUUACUAUACAUUUUUAGCUAAGUUUGUUUAAAAGAGGGGAUGAAGAGGCAACUUGCGAGUUUACAUACGCGGCCAUUUUGAUGAUCGUAUGCCUUACAUAUAAUGUUGUAAAGCUUCGAACCACAAAAAGAAAAAAAGUUAGGGUAAACUUCAAUUUACUUAAUUAAGUGUGUACCCUGCGAUUGAUAUUGCAUUUAAUUAUUCUGUAGUUUACCAGCUGUACUUAGCGUAGUUAUCUAAGGGCUUAAUACUUGAUCUCGAAAUUUCAAGUUCGAAACUUAGUUACUUCAUAUUUUUAGCUGAGUUUAUUUCCAAAAAAUAAAUAGAGCGAAUAGCACCUAUCCUUAAUCUUAAAAAAAUGAAAAAAAAAAAAUCUUGUGGCUUAGUAAGUUUUCACUUUACUAUUUUAUAGUUUAAAAAAUUACACUUAACAAUCAUAUGACUUUAUUUUUAUUUUAUUAUAAGAACGUAUGAUGCAACUUAUAAAUUUUUAUAUUUUAUUUCUAAAAACGUCUUAAUUUAGUUUUUGUUCUCAAAUAUAUUUUAAGCGAAGAAGAAGUUACUGCAGGCACCAGAUUCGUCCGUACAUCCCUGCGGCAAGCAUCCAUUAGCUCUUGAUCCUAUCUACUCAUUUCAAACUCUACAAUAACUUUAUUCUACUAUAUUAAUUUAGUUGUAUCGAAAAUUAAAUUAUUAUAAAAUAUAUUUUAUUGUACUAGCUUGUGCCACUGUGAUAAUGCAAAUUAUGUUAUUUAGCUAUUUUUUAUCAUAUGAUUUAUAGUAAAAAAUUAUAAUGAUUUUUAUUUGUUGCAAAAGUUAUUAUUAUAACUCAUAGUUAUCAAUUGCAACAGUACUUAUUAGUAAGAAAGAAUGAGUUUUUAGUAUCCGUACCAUUUUUUUACUUGAAAAUUAGACGAAUGAAUUGAAAAUGUGAGAUGACUAAAUGAUAAAUAUACUUUGUACAGACAUAGAAUAUCCAUAAGAUACUUUUUUACUUAUUUAAUAGGUAAAUGAUAUCUAAAAAUUAUAAAAUUUAGUUUUUAAAUAUUUUUAAUAGUGUAAAUCAAGUCUAACAGAGCCGAUCGUCGAUUUGGAAGCCGCAUCAUCGAAAACAACUUGGUAGUACGGAGCCCUCCGUGCUACCGAUAGUAUAGUAGCUUAGUUCUAUAUAUAUAUAUAUAGAAUUAGGCUGGAAUACUAUUAAUAGUAAAACACUAUUUUUGCUAUCAAAUUUUUAACCCUUGGAUGAAAAAUUGUAGGGUCAGGAUGAUAUUAGUCCGUUAGAGUUGAAUGGUCUCCUAGGGUUGAGUGGUCCCCACUAGGUUAUAGUAUUUAAUCCAAUGAUUAGAAAUAAUGAAAAGAGUUGAUCCAAAGGCUAAAAAAUUGGUAGCAACAAUGGAAUUUUGCUACUAAUAGUAGCCCAGUCCAACUCUCUCUCUCUCUCUAUAUAUAUAUAUAUAUAUAGAAUAUAUAUAUAUAUAAUAUAUAUAUAUAUAUAUAAAAAUUAGGUUGAAUACUAUUAGUAGUAAAACGCUUUUUGGCUAUCAGUUUUUAAUCUUUGGAUGAAAAAUUAUAAGGUAAGGAUGAUAUUAGUCAGUUAGAGUUGAGUGGUCCCCAUAGGGUUGAAGUGGUCCCCACUGGAUUAUUAGUAUUUAAUCCAAUGAUAAAAAUGAUUGAAAGAGUGAUCCAAAGGCUAAAAAACUAAUAGCGCAUAAUAAAAUUUUGCUACUAAUAGUAGCCCAGUCCAAUCUCUAUAUAUAUAUAUAUAUAUAUAUAUAUAUAAUAUAUAAUAUAUAAUAUAUAUGUAUAAUAUAUUUUGAGGACGAAAAGUGAAGCCUGGAAUAAGUUUGGGGACUAGCAGUGCAGUUUACCAAAAUUAGAGAUCUCGUACAAGAAAACAAUGUGCCGACUUUUGUCCAUUUAAGCUCCAACCUGUGCCCACUUAGGUAACACAUAUUUAACGCUAAGAAAGCGAAGAGCCACAAUUCACUCAAUUGUUGUUACAUGUUCAUCCUAUUGUGCUUGUGUUUUUGAGUGUUGAGGAUUGGAGGAGGAUGGAGCAGCAGCAGCAGCAGCAGGGCUCAUAUUCAAACUUUGUUCCGCCGCCGCCUGCAUAUUCCGCGCACUCCGCUCCGCGGUCGGUGGAGACGCUGGUGGUGGUACUGGCGGCGAUCACGAUCGCCGCCGUGCUCGCCGGGAUCUGCGCGCGCAUCUGCGGCGGGCGGCAUUCGGCGGGGAGCGCCGACCGCGACAUUGAGGGGUGGGUCGAGAAAAAGUGCAGGAGCUGUCUGGACAGCGGCCUUUCAUCACCGCCGCAGCCGCCACUGCCGCCUCCGCCAGAGGGGCAGCAGGGAUCAAAGCCUGCUGAGGCAAAGAAGUGAUGCAAGUGAGAAAAGAGCAGAGAGCGAGAGAGAGAGUAGCAGGUGUAGUAGACACUCAUUUAAGCUUUGUGAAUUCAGUGAGUGUGUAUUACUUUUCUUCUCUUUUUUUUUAUUAAAAAAAAAAAAAACUAGGCUUGAGAGUCCAACUUUUCUUGCUUCAAUUUGCAGAAAUGAUGUUACAGGGACAAUGACAGACAGGAAGGAUCUGUUCCCACAAGAAGGCUCCAACUCUUUUUUUUUUUUUUUUUUUUUUUUUUUUCUUUUCGUCUUUGUCGAGGUCCUCGUUGCCUCAGCUUGUUUCACCUAAUUAUCUCUUCAAUGAAUGAAGUAGGUAGCAUGCUACUUUUUUCUAAAAAAAAAUUUAUAGAAAUGAUAAAAUUAACCGUUUAUUUUUUUAAAAAAAUUGUGCGUCUUCGUGAUAUAUGAAAGAUUGAUUAGACUGUCUUUGUUUAGCUCUGUUGUGACAUUUUUGUGAGAUAGGUCAAAUUUGUGAUGUUUUUGCUAGAAAUGAACCCAGGAAAGUGUAAAUGCACAAAUUUAGAGGGGUUUAUAAAUAGAGUAAUGCUAUAUUUUUUAACCACUUCUACAUUAUUUUAUAAUUUGUGUAGUUUAAUGAUUGGAAAUUUUUAUGUCCUGGUGAUAUGCACUUUUCUUUCCCCUUGUUAUGCAUAAAAAUGUAUGAAGAACCCCUGAUAUGCACUUUUUUUUUUUUUUUUUUGUNUUUUUUUUUCGUCUUUGUCCGGCUUUUCAUCUCUUUAGAGGCCUUGUUGCCUUACCCAUGUAGCUAAGUUCAUAUCCUGAAUGAAUGAAGAGGGUAGUGUGCUAUCUUUUUCUCAAAAAAAAAGAACACCUGGGUUACCGGCGUUUCUUAAACUGCCCUCUCAACUUUCAUUUUUUGUUGAGAUUUUCUCAACUUCUACUUUGAUUUUUUUAAAUUAAGUAAUUUUAGUAAAAAAAAAAAGGGUAAAAAUUUAUCAUAAUUUAUUGGUGAUUUCUUUUUAGCAAAUAAAAUUAGACCGGUUUAAUAGUUUGAUAAAAUUUACGAGGAAAUUAAUUCUAUUUCAAAAUGCCCUAUACUUGAGGGGGUCUUAGUACAUUUUUACUAAAAAUGGGGUAAAGUUUAAUUUGUUUCCACUAGUUUAUUUUUAGUUUGUCGCUUGUGGUUCAGAAAUUACGCUUAAAAAUCUUACCAUUUUUAUUUUUAUUUCACUCUAAGUGUAUACCGUUAAACAAAGUUAAAUAAGAUAGUAAAAUAAAAGUAAAAGCAAAAUGAAAAGAUAAGUUAAGCAUAACUAUAUUUAACUCUGUUUAAGGCAAGAUUCAAAAAUUAGUAGGAGGAUCAAAUUCUUGAUUAGAGUAGCCUUCAGAUGUAUGGAUGGGCGCACUAUACUGUCUCAAUAUUAUAAUCUGGUCCCCAUACAUUUUACAGUAAUACUUCGGUUGUCGAAGGUUUAGAAAAAAAAAAAAAAAAUUAAUAUAUCUUUCAAAACUUUUAAAAUGUUUAAUAUAUCCUUAAUUGACCAAAAUGUCUGUAGUGUACUAAAUUUUUAUAAAUUAUCUAAAUUCUAGUAAGAAAUACUACUGGAUACUAUUUAGUAUGUUUUAGUAGAGGUUGAGAUUUGUUGGAGUGGUAUGGCACAAAAAUGACGUGAAAAUAAAAUUUUGGGAUCAAAUUCUGUAGAGUACUAAAAGGUCUAUUGCACAUAUCGGUACGGAAAAAUAGAGUACCGGUAUUCAAUAGAAAGUUCAGCCGGAGAAACUUUCGGAUUCUACGAAGCUUUUAUGAGUUACCGGUGCUCAAUCGGGGUUUAGUAAUGAUACUAGAUUUGGAGUACCGGUACUUACCUGCAUGGGGAUUGGGGACUGAAAUUGCUCAGGUUGCAAUAUCUCUUUCCAUGGGGACCUAUUUGGAAUUUUGUCACACCUGUAUAUAAUCCCAACCUCUCUUUCACUCUCAUUCUCUCUUUCUCAAGAGAAAUUUUGGCUAAGUUGUUAUCUCCUCCACCUUCAUUUACUUCUUCUUCCUCUUUUCUCCUCUCUUUUCCUCCAUGCAUUCAUGUUCUUUUCCUUCUCCAUUCUCUUCCUCAAGGGGCUUCAACCUUUUCCAAAUUAACUUGGAGUUAGAGGAGUGGUUUGGAGCUUUCAAUCUUCAAUCCCUUCAUCUUCGACGUGGAUUAGGGCAGAUCUAAUUGAAAUAAGCCUUCAUGUUUAGAGCCUCUAUAUAGCUAGUAUGUUAAUUUUGAUGUGAUUUGGAGAUUUUGGUAGAAUAUGGCACGUUAGGAUUUAAUUUAGAGAUUUGUAAUUUGAGGAUUUCUAUUUGAAAUUGACGAAUGAAAGGCCUCAACAACUCCAAUCGAUCGAGGCUUCGAUAAGGAUUAAGCGAGUUGAGAUACUUUCUCCAUAUUUUUAUAUGAAUUUUGGAGAAAUUUUAGAUAAGAACUUUUAGGGGUACGUUUCGAUGAAUUGGAAAAUUGUCUUUAAGAAGGGUACGAGAGUGAACUCACAACUUUGGAUUGGAAAAACAACAGAAUUUAGCUGACUAGCUAUGUGGUUGACGCAAUCUAACCGAAAUUGGUGAACCCUUUCUAUAUCGUCUACUCCUUAAUUGGUUUUAAUAUCUUGUUAAUUAUGUUCAUACACGACAUUCCUCUCACAUGCAUGUUAGUAGUAUAAUAAUCUACAUUAUAUGCUUUAUGGGAGCUUUAUGUUGAGCAUGCUUUAUAAGCUAGUUGUUCUUUCCUUCUUAUAGCGUGUUGAUCGAGUCAAGAUAAUUGAGAGGGACUUCUAUUUGUUGGGACUUGAUCACAGAAUUUAUGAACACAACAUGUAGAAACAGUGUUGCUAAGUUGAGAGAACUUGUUGACGACUCUCGUGUCGAAUACCUGUAGGUUAUAUUGUUGUUGAGGAUGAUGCAUGAGAGCAAAGUUUGCAGCUGACUGUUAGAUGUGACUCGAAAUUGAUAAUUGACUCAAGUUCGAAUUUUUGGCUCGCUUACAGUUUCGCGGUGUGACCAAAUUAGAAAAUAAAAUUGUAAAGAAAAAAUGAAUGUAUGUGGUGUUUGUUAAGAGUUUUUCUUUUCGUUUUUGCCAUAAAAGCGUGAGAUCGUGGUUGGUUGUACUAACUGAACAUUGUAUUCCUUUUUUUGUUUUGAUAGUGAAGCUCUCUCUUUCCUCGCCCGUGAUUUUUUCCUGUAAAGAAUUUUUCACGUAAAUCUGUGGGUUUUAUUUUGUUUCUGCUUGUGGUUUGUUUAUUUUGUGUUCGUCAUUUCGUUUCCGUUUGUACGUUUGUCGUAACACUGACAAACUCAGUUCAAUUAACACAUGCUUGUGAGGGUGGCUCUCUACAAGCCAAGACUCUUCGGAGAUAUAGCCAAUGCGAGUAAGCUCACCCUUACUUUUGAGAGUUUAAUUGGGAUAAAAGUAUAUAGGAAUAUGCUUCUAUAUUUUUCGGUGGGAUUACAAAAAUAUAUGAUAAUCGACUUAUCAUUGCGAUAUGCGGAACGCAAUAUUACGUACAAAAAUAAACAGAAUAUUUUUUCAUUGUACUUUCUCAUCGCACAUAACACAAUCUUUCCGCAAUUCCAAACGAAGCCUUCAUAUUUUAAAAGGGUAUUUAUGGACGGGAUUACGGUAUAUAAAAUAUCUAGAAUAGGAAUGGACCAUUCUGAUUUCGAUUCUAAAGUUAAUAUAGAGUGAACCAAACAUGCUAUCUUAAUAUUUCUUUUUUAUAAUAAAACUUAAAGAAUUUUCUAAACCCAAAGAUAAAGAAGUGUAAGAUCUACACUUCUUUAUAGAAAUACCAGUAGUAUUUCUUUAAAAUUAAAGAAAUAAUAUUUAAUAAGCCGUUCAAAAUUUUAGAAAUAUCAUAUUUAUUCCCGAAUGACCAAAAAUCCUUGUCAGUUUCAAUUUUUUUUAAAAAUAUUCUCUUUACAUUUUUAGGGUUUACUGAUGGAAUUAAAUUUUAUAAGAGCAUUUGGGAUAUAAAAAGAUAAAUUAAAAUUUUUUUAAUAAUAGUAAGGGACAAAUAAGCCAAGCCCCAAAAUUAAAUGUCUAAUAAAAGAACUUCUUACCCGUCGUUCCUUCGCUCGUUGUCUUUUUUAUUAUUAUUAUUACUUUUAAGGAAACCAGUUUUCUUAGCGAGAGUGUUAACAUUGCGUUUACUAAAACUCUGAACAAUUAAAACAAAUAAUACCAUUUUAUAGAAAUAUUAGCACCUUAUGUUGGAUUGUUGACACUAAAUAUAAUGUCAAAAAUUCGCGCUUUUGAAAUUGUAGUUAAUACUAACGAUUCGCCAAAUGGCAUCAGAACAGAAUUCUAGAUUCAAUAAGAUAAUUUCACAUAAUAUAAUUGUGCCGAUACUCAUGAUGAGAGAGAGAGGAAGAGGGAGGGGGAGGGCAGAGGUCGGAUUAGACUGAGUUACAAUCGGAAAUAAUAAAUAAUGUGUAUUGUUCUGCAUAUGAAUAGCUCAAACUGUUGGAAUUGUAAUUAGCUCACCCAAUCAUCCAACACGUCAGGUCGCUUAAAGUAACUUUUUAUUUUUUUGUUUGAAUGAAAAUAUAUAUGUAAUAAUCACUAAAUAGUGAAACAAAUUAAGUAUGCUACUGUUAUUGGGGAGCGAGUUAGGACCGAUUUGUGUUCGUUCGUUUAGUAAAUAAGUCGAACAUGAGCUGACUCGUUAAAAUAUCGAGCUGAAAAAUUAAGCCCAUGUUCGGUCGUUUAUUAACGAGUCAAAUAAGAGUUAGCUCGCGAACAAUAAAUUAGAUUCUCAUCCCUACUAUUGGAUAAGAAGUUAAAAAAAAAAAUUAUAAAUUUCUUUAUAUUUGAGUUGGCUUAAAAUCCAAAUAGUAAAAAUUUAUAAUAUAUAUAUAUAUAUAUAUAUAUAGUAGAGCUAGAAUACUUAUAAAAGUAUCAUCCAAGUGAUUUUUGUGUGUUUUUAGCCCUUGGAUGGAGAGAUGUGAGGUUGAUAUGAUAGUGGUAGGUGGUGAUAGGUGGUGGUAGGUGGAAUAGUGUUUGAUCCAAGGGCUAUUAGUAAUUAAAAAGUAGAUCCAAUGGCUAAAAACACACAAGUAUCACUUGGGUGAUACUUGUAAAAGUAUUCUAGCCCUACUUAUAUAUAUAUAUAUAUAUAUAUAUAUAUAUAUAUUAUUAAGUUAUAUAUAAUAUAUAAUAUAUAAUAUUUAUAUAUAUAAGAGUAUGAGCUAAGAAUAGUAUCGGGAUACAAACGGUUCCGUUGCCAUUAUUUAUUUUCGAUUGAUAGAGCUAUCAAACGACGAUCGGACCGUUGAUAUGAAUAUACAUUAAAGUGUUUAGAAUCAGAAUUUCAAAUUUUUUUCGGAAAUCAUUUGCCAAUAUCAAAAGGUUUCAAAAUUUAUAAUUUUAGCAUGGUGAUUAUGAGGGUUUUUCUCGUUUACGGCGAGUAAAAAUAUCCAAAUCAAUUGAAAUUUUGUUAGAAAAUUCUUUAAAUAUUUAAAACAAGAUCAAUACUCUUAUUUGACAUCAAGACUCCUAUCAAUUCAUUUUUAAAGAAUAUUCAUUUCGGCACAGUUCUAUUUGUGUCCACUCGAUGAUAAGAAACAAUCUCUAAAAAGCUAUAAAUUUUGAAUUUGCUAGUACUUAAGUCUGGUAUAAAUCAUAUUCAACGGAUGGCCGAUUCAUCGAUUGGAGGUACCGAUCAUCGAAAACAAAUGAGGUGGCUAACGGAGCCCGUUAGCUACCGAUAUCAUCUCCCCAGCUCAAACUAUAUAUAGUAUAUAUAUAUAUAUAUUAUAUAUUAUAUUAUGACAAGAGGCCUGCUGUGCUCUCAGGAGACGGAGGCCUUCCAGUGCUCCCUGAGCCGUAUUUCGAGGUGAUGGAGUUUUCGAAAUCGAACGAUCCGCAUCGAUUAAAUUGAUCUAAGCGUUAUUUAAAGUUUCUAGAAAUAAUUUUUUGCGAUUUUUCGAUAUCAUUUACCUUAGCAAUCGAUAAAGGAAUUCAAAAUCAAUAUUUAUUAACGGCUGAAAAUAAAAUGCUAUAAAAGUGGGACUAUAGCCCCAUAAAAUUUCUCGAUCAGAAAUAUAGAUCUUGUUGUAGAUUAGAAUAAAGAAUUUUCUAUCAAGAUUUCUCAUCUGAUUUGAAUACUUUUACACCGUAAAUUCAAAACGCAUAUAGCAACCAUUUAAAAUUAUGGAUUGAAUCUUUCUGAUCAAAUAGCGUAAAUUGAUAUCGAAAAAUCGCGAAAAAUUAUUUUUUAGAAACUUCAAUACGCUAGAUCAAGUCUAACGGAGCGACUCGUGAUUCGAAAAUUCCCAUAUCGAAAACAGUCAGCGAGCACGGGCCUCUGUGCCUCCUGAUAGAGCCACAGCAGCCCUGCUCUUAUAUAUAUAUAUAGUCUUCAGUGUUUUGAGUUAUUUACUUCUUUCAAAGGUUUUUUUGUUUUUUUUUUUUUUUUUUUUGUUUUUUUGAGAGAUAAGGUAGCACCGGCUAGCCGCUUCGUUAAUUUCAUUUAGAAACUUAAAUUAGCUGGAAAAGUGAAAUCAACUAGGAUUGAACUAUACGGUCAUCGAGUUACCAACCACCAAGUCCUUUGCCACUUGCCUAAGAAAUGCUGUUCGGUUUCUUUCAAGGUUUGUGUAAAUUUAAAAAGAAAAUAUAUAUGUACUAUAUAUAUUAAUAUAUAUGUAUGUAUUUAAUGUAAUAUAUAUGUUAUAUAUAUAAUACAAUAUACAUACAUAUAAUAUAUAAAUAUACAAUAUAUAUAUGAUUAUUAAUAUAUAUAUAUUAGUAUAUAUAUAUCAAUAAAUAUAUUAUAUAUAAUAUAUAUAUAUUUGUAUAUUAUGUUAUAUUAUGUAUAUAUAUACAUAUAUAUACAUAUAUAUAUACUAUUAUACUAAUAUAUAUAACAUAAUUACAUACAUUAUAUAUACAUAUAUACAUAUAUAUAUAUAUACAUAUAUUAUACAUAAUAUACAUAUAGAUAGUAUACAUAUAUAUACAUACAUAUAUAUAUAUAUAGUAUAUAUAUACAAAUGAAUACAUAUAUAUAUAUCAUAUAUAUAUUUAUAAAUAUGUUGAUAUACAUUAUAUCAUAUAAUAUAUAUUAUAAUAUAUAUAUAUAUAUAUAUAGUGAACGGUACCAUGCUAUCGGAAGCACGGAGCAUUCGAUGCUUCCAGAGUGUUAUUCGAUGUGCGGACUUUCGAAUUGUCGAUCGGCUCCGUUUUUACACUUGAUCUAGAGUAUUUGACAGUACUAGAAAAUAAAUUUAUGAUUUUACGAUAUAAUUUGCUAUGUGAACGAAGGGGCUCAAAAUCAACUGGCCUGAAAUAAAAAUCAUUACAAAAUGUAAUAAUAUUGACAGUUUAAAAUUUUAAAAUCAAAGAAUGAUUAUGUUUUUUAUAUAGUAUAGAAGAAUCUUUCUACUCAGAAAUUUCAGUGAUCUUGCGAUAUUUGUCACCAUUUAAAACCUUGCAAGCUCACUUACCGGCAAUUUGACAUUUGUUGAUUUUUGACGCCAUUCUAUCACUAGGCAAAUGAUAAUCGAAAAAAAUAAUAAAAUUUAUUUUCUAGUGUACUCCAAAUACUUAGCAUCAAGGUUUAACGGGCACGAUCGACGCAUUCGAAAGUGGCAACAUCGGAAAACGCAGCUGGAAACGGAAGGCUCCGUGCUUCAGUAGCAUGGUAGCGCACUAUAUUAUAUUUAUAUAUUUAGUGGGCUAGAUACUUAUAAAAGUAUAUGGGUGACUUGUGUUUUUAGCCUUGGAUGGAGAGAUGUUAGGUUGAGAUGGAUCGGUGGUAAGUGGUGGUAGGUAGGUGGUAGGUGGAAAUGUGUUAUCCUUAAGGGCUAUUAUAUAAGUCAAAAAAGUAGUCCAAUGGACUUAAAACCUAAUGCACAUGAUGUAGAUAUUGAUAAAAGUAUCAUAGUCAACUCCUCUCUCCUCCUAUUCUCUCUCUCUCUCUCUCUUCAUUCUCGUCUCUCUUCUUCUCUAAUAUUAUUAUAUAUAUAUUAUAUAUUAGGCUACUAUACUAUCGGGUAGCACGGAGGCGUCGCGUGCUACCAAGUUGUUUUCAAUGAUGCGGCUUCCAAAAUCGACAGAUUCGGCUCCGUUAGACUGAGUCUACACUAUGAAAAGUAUUAGAAACUAAAAUUUCUUAAAUUUUUCGAUAUCUUCAUAUAAAACAAAUAGUUCUAAAACUUGAACGCUGAAAAUAAAAUCUCCAUGAAAAAAUGAUUGAAUUAAAAGAUUUUAAAUUCAAGAAGACAUAUAAUGAUCUACUCUAAUAGUCGAAUAGAAUUUCUAUAAAAUUUCAUCGCAUUUGGAUUGUUUUACACGGUUUAAACUUGCAAACACACCACAUCCCAUUAAAAUUGAUCAAUUUUGAGAUCUUUUGAAUCAAUAGUCAAAUGAUGUCCAAAAAAUCUAAAUUUAGUUUCACAUACUUUCAUAGUGUAGACAAGUCUAACGGAGACCGAUCGUCGAUUUGGAAGCCGCCAUCAUAGAAAACAACUUGGUAGACGAGCGUCGUGCUAUCGUAGCAUAGUAGCCGGAUCUAUAUUAUAUUAUUAAUAUAUAUAUUAUAUAUAUUAGAGGAGAGAGAGAGAGAUCUGAGGAGAUGAGAAGGAGAUGACUAGAGAGAGAGAGAGUGAGCUGGAUUACUAUGUAGAAAGGGCUCUGUUGCCACCAUUUUGUUUUCGAUGAUGGAGCUUCCAAAUCGACGAUCGGCACCGUGUUGAAAAUGCAUCUUACACUUGAAGUAUCUAGAAAGUUCAAAUUUAUACUUUCGAUAUUUGGUUUUCUUGUCAUCAAGUGGGCGUAAAAAUAAACGGCUGAAAAUGAAUAUCUCUAAAAAAGUGAUGAUAGAAUUUUGUAUCUAUGAUCGAAGAGUUAUUAGAUCGUCGUUCUAAUGUUUAAAGAAUUUUCUAACAAAAUUCAUGAUUUUGAUAGUUUCACUGGUUACGAGAAAACCUCAUCAGUCAACAUUAAAAUUUAUCACUUCUUGAAAACCUUUGAUCAUAAGGUUAAAAUGAUGUCGAAAAGAUUUGAAAUUUAAUUUCUUAAAUACUUCAAGUAAUAUGGAUCAUGUUAACGGUGUUCGAUCGUCGAUUGGAAGAGCCUCCAUCUAAAAACAACAUAGUGGCAACGUAGCCGUUUGCUAUCGAUUAGCAUUCCAGCGCUAAACUAUAUUUAUUAUAUAUUUAUAUAAUAUAUAUAUAUAUAUAUAGUAGAGCUAUUAUACUAUCGGAAGUAUAAAGUGGUUGGUAUUUUCAAUUUUUGGGCCCUUAGAUCAACCCCAUUGAUCAUUUCUAACCAUUGGAUUAAUAUUAUUAAUCAAUGGGGACCACUCAACCCUAGGGGGACCACUCAACCCUAAGGGGACCGCUAUCAUCAUAACCGUAGAAUCUUUGAUCCAAGGGCUAAAAUAUCGAAAGCACCAACUACUUUAUGCUUCCGAAAGCAUAGUAGCUCUACACUGUAUAUAUAUAUAUAUAUAUAUAAAGCCGAACAUGAGCGAGCUAAUACUAACUCGUGUUCGGCUCGUUAAAAUUUUGAGCCGAAAAUUAAACAAACUCAUGUUCAACUUGUUUAUUAAACAAGUCGAUCGAUGUCGAACUUAUUUGAACUAAACGCGAGCCGGCUCGGGAACAUGAGUGAUACAAUAGAGGUAUCGUAAUUCUUGGCCUAGAUAUUUUAGAAAAACUAUAUAAAGCCGAACAUGAGCGAGCUAAUCCUAACUCAUGUUCGGCUCGUUAAAAUUUUGAGCCGAAAAACAUAACUCGUGUUCAACUCAUUUAUUAAACGAGUCGAUCGAUCUCGAACUUAUUUGAACUAAUCGCGAGCCGGCUCGGGAACACGAGUUAUAUAAUAGAGGUAUCGUAAUGCUUGGCCUAGAUAUUUUAGAAAAAACUUCAAAAACUCUCCUGUGGUUUCGCACUUUUUCACUUUAGUACCUUAUGAUUUAAAGUGUAUUAAGUUAGUACCCUGUGGUUUCGCACUUUCUCACUUUGGUAUACUGUGGUUUAAAGUGUAUCAAAUUAGUACUCUCUGGUUUUAUUUUUAUAUCAAAUUAGUAUCCUGCUGUUUCAUUUUUUUCUUUUUAUUAUUUAUUUCGAGAUAUUUUUUUUGUUAAAUCAGUGACAAAAUUAAAACUAAAUGGUAGUAAAAUGAAUAUUCGAUAAACUUAGGUAGGGUAUCUAAGUUUUUUGUAUAUAACUUAAUGAAAUAUUAAACCACGGGAUAUUAAAGUGAGAAAGUGUGAAACCACGGAGUACUAACUUCUUUAAACCACAUACUACAAAGUGAAAAAGUGCGAAACCACUUAGGGUAUUUGAAGUUUUCCCUCUAUUUUAAAGAGGGGCCUUGAUUAUUGGAUUGACUUGGUAAACAUCGUGUAUAUAAUUCGUUUGUUUUUUCCCCAACUCCAUCAAAAUCAGUAAAAAUUAAUUACAGUUUACAAUUUUAGCACAAAAACACUAGUGAUGAAUCUAACAUUAGAAAGGCAUGAACUCCUCGUCGAUGAUUUUUAACCGCUUCCUCACGUCAUGCUGCUGCACGACGAGGACCGAUGCCGUGACCGAGAACUCCGACGAGGCGAGGAUGUCGCCGACGGGCCCUAUCUCAGGGCACUCCGCCCACUCCGCUAGCCCAUCCGUGAUCACCGAAUUCCGACUCCUCCCCUGCCCGACGAUGAACAGCUGGUACUGACUCUCCAGUGACCGCAGGACCUUCACUAUCUCCGCGCCGUCGCAGACAUGCUUCUCGACGUAGCCCGCCGCCUUCUCCGCCACGUACCGCUCGUAGAACUUCGUGAAGUACUCGUCGUCUGCACGCGUUUGAGCCUCCUCCUCGGAGGAGGCGAACGCCGUCAUCCUCGCGGAAGCGCGGGCGCGUGCUGCGGCGUUUGGGAGGAUCCGGAUCACGGUGAGCUCAAUGCCCGGGUGCCGGGACAUGCGCGCCGCCAGGGUCAGCGCCUCGCGGUCGUCGGCGCCCCCGAUGAAGAUGGCGACCACAUUUUGCGUCGCUUCGGAGACCGACGAUUUGUUCACUCGGCCUUGCCCGCGGUCGACUAGAAUUCCGACCGAGCAUGGCGCGUAUUGCAGAACCUGCAUGGAGAAUUUUUUAAGGUCAUGGAUUAUACUACAAGGUCAUGGAUUAUACUACAAGAUAAUCUCAGUAUAAUUAAGGAUAUUUUUUAAAUGACACUUAAAAAAAAAAACGUCCGCAAGCGUUCUUAUAAUACAGCAAAUACCGGCGAUUCAAAAAGCAUCGUUAUUUGCUAUUAGUUUUAAUUUUUAAGCAUUUUAAAACGUCAAAAUAUAUUUUACCGACACUUAACAUAAAUGUUGGUAUAUACAUAAUGACUAUUUAUUUAUUGAUAUUUUUAGAUAUGGCACAGAUGUUUUAAAAUGCUUAAAAAUUAAAACUAAUAGCAAAUAACGAUGCUUUUUGANAUGACUAUUUAUUUAUUGAUAUUUUUAGAUAUGGCACAGAUGUUUUAAGCAUUUUUUUGAUAUAUCAAAAGAGUCGUUCUUAAUUUUUUAUUUUUUAUUUUUUAUUAUUUAUUAUUUAUUAUUAUUAUUUUUUUGUAGUAAUUAGGAAGUUAGCUAGGAGUUUUCACCUUCUGGUUAACUUGUCUAUGACCUGGGUGCCCUAAGUCCAUAGAUCCGUCAAGUUUCUGUCUCUUGUGGAAGGGCAGCACAAUGAGCACCGCCAGUACAUCCUCGGCAUAGCUGCAUAUAUCUCGGUGCAUGUCGGAGAAGGAGGAGACCGCCAGUAGGCGUUGAAUCUUUACUCCGUCGUUGCCGUCCUGUUGUUGGUAUGCGACGAGCGCCUCCCCUACCAGCUUCCGAAACUCUACCACACUCUCGUCUCCGACGGUGACGACUUCCUGCCCGUCGCCUUUCACCAGGGUCGCGGCCGCCCGGUCGGUCAUCUCGACCAUGUCGAUCGCGUACACCGUCAAACCUCGCGGCCCCGAGCCCCACCGCACCGACUCGAUAAAGUUUAACGUCAUCGGUAUGUUGUCCGCCGCGUAUAGCCCCGUCAUUAUCCGCACAUCGCUCGUCGGAUCGAGGAACUGAAGCCCCAUCAGCUGCCGCUUCGCCCGCCGCCGAGACCGGGCUGCUAUUGUGACGCCCACCAAGGGUGUUAGCAUCGCCGUCCCGAGCACCGUGAACAAAAUUGCCACGAAUAACUGAUCACUAAUCAUGGCACUAUUCUAGGGAAAUAAGGCCAAAAAAAAAAAAAGUUCUUUUAAAUGAAUCGAGACUAUAAAUCUUGUGCUAAUAAAUGACUAAAUGAUAUAUAAUGUGCAUUAUCACAACGGCGCAAACUGUUGUAAUAAAAUAUAUCUGAUGUACGGGAAUCACAUUGUUGCAGUGCUUGCGGAGUUACGUACCGUCGCUUGGUAUGCGAAGAAGACGUGAUAGUAUCCUUUGAUAUUGAGGAGCAGACCUAAUGCCAGCGACUCGAGCCAAUUGAGUCCUUGGAAGCGGCCUGCAGCAAGAGUCCCCAAGACCUUUCCAGCGGCGGCGGCUGUACUGAGAAUCGAUAGCUUAGUCCAUGACAGAGGAGUGUCGAUCACGUAAUCGCUCUUCGACGAUCCUUCGACAUUCCCGUCGUUCCUCAAGGAAAGACACACAAAGCAGACGUAGAGCGGAAGGAUUACGGUGCUGAGGAGCAGGUUGAUGUUGUUGACCAGCAGUCUGGAUGCCCUCCCUUGACGCGGAAGCACUAAACCGAUCAAGAAGACGGCCAUGUUGGCGUCGCCGUGCAGCUUCGUGGCUACACCGCACAGCGCGAGAAUCAUCACCACCACCCCCGCAACAUCCACGCCCUUCACGCGCUUCCCCUCCGGAUUUCGCUCGCUGAUCCAGUCCAUGAUAGGCUUUGCUACCCUUACAACCAAAGCCAUUUCGAUGAUAAGGCCGAGCAAGCAGGACAAAGCUUUGAGUUUCCGAUAGCCGCUGCUCAACAGCAUCGCCCCGACGGACGUUAAGAAGGACGAAACCAUGUCGGUGUGAAUGCCGGCGCCGAUGGCGAGGCGGCCUACGCGAGUGUUGGAGAUUUUGAGUUCGGUGGUGAGACGAGUGAGGACGGGGGAGGCCGUGUUAGCGAGACCGGCGAUCAGGCCGAGUCGCGAGUGCAAGUACAACAAAUCUGCAUGCUGCUCUUCUCCGCCAUAUGCAUUUUUCGCAUUCCUAGAUUCCACAAGAACUGAGCUAAAUAGCGCACCGACGACCACCGUAGAGAGCAUGCUCACGUAGCCGAUGAUGGUGUCGGAGCCGGGGGAUUCGAAAACCGUGAGGGGGUCCAUCUCUAGGCCUAGGGCAAACAUGUAGGCAGUGAAGCAGUAAUGGCCAAAAUUUUGGAGAAUCAUGGUUAUAUCCGGGCCGAAGCUCUCUCGAAGAAACCGCACCUUCGCUAUCAGAAGCGCGAUCUGCGAUCGAUAUAGCAACCAUUAGGUUUUAUUCGAUCUCUUCAUCGAAAAUAUUCUUCGAAUUCGCCAAAUUCGACAUGCAAAUUACAUACACGAUAAUUUUCAUAUUGUUACAUAGGUAUAUAUAUGGCGCGUAAAUGGAGGGUGUGAAGAAUUUUACUCACAACUAAAUCGGCAACGAUUCGCGGCUGAUAAAGUCGUCGAACAGCCAAAUAGAGGAGUUUGCUGGAUAUGAGGAUGAAGAAAAAGUGCACCAGCAAGACAGGGUAGGAGGAGACGAUGGAUGACCGCAGCAACUGACAGUGCUGCGCCUCUAUAAUCGCCGUAAAGUUGGUCGGCGGUGAAAGAUUCAAUGUAGACAUCCUCGUGCUAGCGCUGCGGCGCAGCAAAUUUACUUAUUUUUUAUCAAAUGAUACUUCUUACUAUCAAGAUGUGACUGCGUGACGAUUCUUGCUGCACCCGCACGACCCUAUCCAUCCACGCCCGUGCGCUCGAGAUACGACAUCAAUAAGAGAACAUAAGGAAAUGAAGAUAAAUUUGCGAGCUUCGAUUGCCCAUAAUUCAGAUUCACGCGAUAGAGUCCGAGCUUCUAUUACACCGGUUUGAAUUCGAAUUCCAAUUCUAGAACAAGAGUUUUCGCAAUGAGAAGACGAAUCGAAAAGAGAAUGAGAAAGGUUUUGUGUCAUUAGUUUUCAUCACAUGUUUACUUUACAUUGAGCCAGAAUAAUUGAAAGAGAAGGGAUUAGGUUUGCGGUGGAGAAGGUUUUGUGGGGGUACCUUCUAAGUUUGUUGGAUGUUUUACUAUUUUUGUUUUUGCGCUUCAUUGAGAUGUAAUGGUUGGUUUCGUACAUAAGGAGUUUAACAAAACAUGAAAUGUAAUUCAAUAGUGAUUUUGACGGCGGAAAUAGAGUGCAAAAUGGAAUGAAUGAUUGGCAGGGUGUGGUGCAUAAAAUGAACGGACAAUUAUAUCUAUUGUGGAAAAUAAUUUAAUUAAUUUUAAAGCAGUUUUGAUACAUUAAUUCUUUUACAAUUCAGUGUUGUUAAUUGGGAUUAUUGCUCAAUUAAGCUUCAAAAUAUGGUAAUUAUUGGCAAGAAAACCUUGCCAUUUUUAUCUAAUUAAAAAAUAAAAAAAUUUAAUUAAAGAUAAAUACUGAAUUAAAUUAAGCAAAUAUACAUUUGAUCAAUGUUUACACGCAAUAUAAAAUUCUUUUCCACGGGCAGGUGUUUUGUGCUUAAUAUUUUUUGUACAUUGGGUGCAUGUAGGCCACAAUGUACAUAUUUAUUCCUAUGCGAAGCGGAAUCUGCAUCUCAUCUUAUCUCAUUACUAAUUGAAGUUAAUAUUCACCAACUGCUUUAAAUAGUAGUGUUGUCAAAUUUUACUUUGUUAUGUAACGCCCUAAGCAUUUGUAAAUGCAAUUCGCUUUGAUCUUUACAAAAUGGGGAUGAACCGCGAUACAAUUGCUUAGCGGUGUAACAUCAAAAUGGGAGAUGGCGAGAUAUGUGAAACACGAUACAAUUUGAAUACACGGAACAUCUGAUGAUCCGUAACGCGUGAGAGAUGGCGAGAUACAUGAAAGAAUGUUAGUAAAAUAAGCAACCCGAUCCGUUUGUGGUUUUUGCUUACGUACGCUAGCUAUCCAGUUUGUAAGUUUUUGCUGUCUUCUAAUUCCAACAAUUAAUAUCAGAAUUUUUUUGGCUUGUUUUCGCUUUAUGAUCAUACCUGGGAUGCUUGUUUUGCAUGCAUGCUUUGUUGAUCAUUUUUUUUAUAUACAUUUGUUCUGUAAUCUUUUUUUAUUCAUUUUCUUUGUGAAAUCGACAAAAAAAAAAGAGAAUUAAAUUAGUUUUGGUUUUUUUUUUUUUUUUUUACGUUGAUCAUGAGACAUGCAAAAGUUUUUUAAAAUUAGUUAUGUUUUUUUUUUUUUUUUUUUUUUUUUGAUAGACUCUUUUUGGAAUCUAAUUUUAGCUUAUGAUUUCUACCGUACUGCUAGCAUUUUCUAUGGUAAAUAUUAUAUUUGUUAAAAUGUAAUAAACUCCAGCAUAANCUAUUCCGUACAUUAAAAAAAAUUACAUCUGCUGUACAAUUUUUAUUUUUUAAAAACUUUGUGCAUCAACCCAAAAAAAAAAAAAACACAGCGUGGCGGACCCGCGUGCCGCAAGCGGGUCCACCACGCUUGAUGUAGCUGAUUUUAUUAUGCAAAAGGUGAUGUAAUAAUCAAAGCUAUAUAAAAAAAUAUGCUUUGUACAGCGUCGGCAUUUUUUAAAUAAAAUUUUGGCACAGAUACUUAUUUUUUAUCUGCGUGAUGAUAUUGCAAAUCUCAAUUCUCAAUAUAUAUUUUUUUAAAAGAAAGAGAGAGAGAGAGAGAGAGGUGUUUUUUUAAAAAAUGGAUGAGUUUUAAUUUUUUGGAUAAGUUCCAAAUUAAUAGAAAAAUUAAUAAAAUUGUAAUAUUUUAAACCAACACUAGGUGAUGAUUACGAACUUAGGGAAGUUUUUGAUUCCGUUGUGUCAGAAAUAAUGUUUCAAUCUUGUUAAUUUUUUAAAAAUGUACCUAAUCGUCGAAAUAUGUUUUGAAUAUAGUGAAAUGACUUCCAAAAAUGUCGUAACUGACCUCACUAGGGAUGACAAACUAAAUGGAAAAAAUUAUGAUAUUUGGUAUAGAAAAAUACAAUACCUGCUAAAUAAAAAAGAGGUUUUUAAAACUCCCUCUGUCAAAAAAGUUGUGCCUCUGGAAGGAACUACUGCAGAGCAUGAAAUGGUGGUCUAUACUAAGUGGUUCAAUGAGAAUUGAACUGCUAUUUAUACUAUGUUGUGUAUCAUACAAGACGAUCUCAUUAGACAGUAUGAGACCUAUGAGACUGCCAAGGACAUGUAGAAAAUCUAAAGAUUCCUUAUGAUCAAAUUUUAGUUACGAUGCUAUGUGCUUUAAAUCUCAAAUUUCAACAGUAUACUAAAGACCUGAAACACUCAAUGGCUAGCAUCUCCAUGUGAUGAGCGUCAUGAUUAGGAACCUCAAGGCUGAUGGAAACUAGCUCAACAAUAAGCAACAGGUUAUCACAGUGAUUGUUCAUUGCUAGACCCGAAUGGUCCCAAAUGAAGCUCCCAAUGACGCACAAUGAGAGUAUUAAAACGUUUAAUAGCAUAGCAUGCCAUCUUGAGAUCGAGGUAGAGCGCUUGGAAGUGAACCAUUUUGUCACUCUUGUUGCAUGCUCUGAAAGGCGCAGUGGGAUCACACUCAAGUGCAAGAAGAAUUAAAACAAUGGAGCACAGAAGAGUCGGAAUCAAGCUCCUUAUGGUGAAGUUAGAAAACGUCACAAAGGCAAGUGCUUUGGCAGUAGGGAUGCUGCAAAGCUGAAAUGCUAUAACAUCAAGCAAAAUAGUCACUUUGCUCGGAAUUGUCCUGAGUCGAAAAAAGUAACCCUAUCACUCAGCUCGCACUGUUUUGUUUGCUCUCAUGCAUUAGUAGCACAUUCUCUUCCUAAUUGGAUUGUGGAUACAGAGGCAAAUAAACACGUAGUUCGUGAUCGAGUAGGUUUUGUAGAUUACCAUCGAGUACAGUCGGACAUGCAAGCCGUCACCCUUGGGAGUGGCACGAAGGAAGAAGUCCUUGGAGUUGGUUCGUACCAACUCAAGUUGCAUGAUCGUUGCACUUUACUUCUUCAGGACGUGCUAUAUGCACUGAGAAUGUUCAGUUUUAGCUUUGCAACAUUUAGGCUAUUUCUUUCAUUUUGACAAAGACCAUCUUGAUAUUUUCUUUCAUUCCGAGUGCUAUAUGCACUCGGAAUGUUCUGUUUUAGCUUUGCAACAUUUAGGCUAUUUCUUUCAUUUUGACAAAUACCACCUUGAUAUUUUCUUUCAUGUAUUUUAUUUGGAUAUGGUACAUUAAUUGAUGAUUUCUCUAAAUUAGAUUUGGAGGAUGAUUCAUUUACAUUUGCUUUUUUUUUUUUUUUUCUAAUCUCUGUGACGAAUCCGUCAAAUGGCAUGCUAUAUUAGACCAUAUAGGCUAAGAAAGAAUGAAUAAACAGGCUUGAAAAGGCUUUUUGCCAUCUCUCACCAAAGUUGAUCUAUCUGUAUGCGAGCCUUGUCUAGCUGGAAAAGCAUGUAGAAAACCUUUUGGUAAGGCUACUCGUGUCUCUCAUCCUUUGGAGCUGAUCCACUCAAACAUUCAUGGGCCAAUAAAUGUGAGGGCCCAGCAUGGUGUUGAUAUUUUCUUCCAUUCAUUGAUAACUAUUUCUGCUAUGGGUAUGUAUAUUUACUUUCUCGCUGAUUUGAAGUUUUAGAUUGCUUCAAGUGGUUCGUUGUGGAGGCUGAGAAUCAAAUAGAAAGAAGUGUAAAGGCGCUUCGCACUGAUCAAGGUCGUGAGUAUUUGUCUGAUCAAUUCAAGACUUAUUGUGAGCAAAAGGGCAUUAGUAGACAACUCACUAUUUCUGAUACUCCGCAAACAAAAUGGUAUCACAAGAACGAAGGAACUGUACUCUACCCGACAUGGUUAGAUUGAUGAUGGCGCAGGCUUAUCUUUUCAUAAAUAUUUGGGGGAGAUGCUCUUUUGACUGCAGCCUGUUAGAAAAUUGCGUAUGGUAAAAACGCAGCGGAAAAAAGAAAUCAAACAAAUUUGAUUUUGAAAACUCUCGAGAUCCAAUCUCAAAAACCACGCAAUUAGGAUCCCUCAUGUUCUUUAAGAUUAAAGAAGAAAAGCAAGAUCGAAUCUUUACCUUUUUCGCGGAUAAAUCUUCAUCUCAAUUUGAUGAUCGUCGAAUCGGGUUCUCUUGAAGCCGCACACGCGUUCGGCCUCUACAGGUAUCCGCACGAGAUUGUUGAUUUGAUCAAUAUCCUCACCGGGGUGCUAGCUCCCUUGCAAAAGGACGUCUUUUUUACUAGAAUAUAGAAGAGAGAGGAGAAGAGAGAUGACGGCUAGGGUUUUCUAAAAACUCUCGUAUAUUAUAUAGAGGAAUAUAAUCCUCUUUCUAAUAAUAAAAUGACAAUUAAGGAUAAAAACAAAUCUAGAUUUAAAUUUAUCCUUUCCUUAAUUGGUUAGAUCGAUCAAAUCCUAAUUUAAUUUGACUUGAACUUUAUAUUAAUUUGAUCUUAUCAAAUUAAUAAUGCAACAUUUGCACAUAAGUCCUCUUAUAAUUUACUAACUAUUAGUAAGUCCUCUCUUGUAACAUUUACACUUUAAUACCACUAAUUUGUAACAAUUACAAAUUAGUCCAAUUAUCAACAUAUUGACAAUUAGGUCCUCCAGCGAUUCAAUAAUCGCGAUCUAGCUAUCCGAUCAAUCACAACCUCUUAUGUGUGUGACCCCAUAGGUUCUAUUCUAUCUGGUAGUGAGAUAUAUUUUGAUCACUAUCAACAAUAUCACUAAAACUCCUUUCAAUGGAUCGAAACAAUUUCAACUCAGCCCAAUGAGAAUUAUCGAUCAUCUAGAUAAUCCUCAUGAGUCUCACAAUCCACAAGUGACGCCUAGCAGCAUGUAGUGGCAUUCCAGUAGAAUGGAAUAAUGAAUCUCUUGGUGCAGUUACCGUGUGAUACAGUCCUUCUAUCAUGAGUCCCGACUAGACGGAGUUAUAGAAUAACUCGCAAACCCCAUCGUCUGUCAUAUGUUAAAUUUAUUCGACUCGAGUUUCUAAUAUCGGAAACCCUUUUCCGCUAUUAACUCUGCCCUGGUCAAGGUCUUCUGAACUAAGUCUCAUAAAUCACAUAGGACUAACACUCCUAUCUACCAAGGGAGAUAGAUUCCAUCUAAGUGCGCACCCUAUUCCUAUAAUGAACUUACUGCAGCCAACAUGCACCGUAAGGACCCGAAUGGCUAGGGACCAAGUGUAUGUACAGUCAAACUACAGUAACCUCAUUGUGAAUAGCCGAGGCACCGCAGGUCAAAGGACCAGUCACACUAUUGCAACAUUGAGUAAGUCACUGACGAGUGAGUAGACAUCCAAGUGACUUCUCGUGUUGGUCACGCUCAGUACCCUUAUUCUCUAACAACCACUUACAUAUUUGGUUCAGUGUCUCCACAGUGUCGACUCAAGACCCGUCUACCCAAAAGGGAAGCGACCUAUGCAACAAUCUGACCGGAUCAAUCACCAUCCUUGUGAUGAUCUAUUAAUCAGGAGCAUUUAGGAAUUAACCACCAAUGACACAUGUCUCAAAAUCUCAACUCUUGAGAAUAUAUGUCAUCAUCUUAUUAAUUCCUUGGAUGAUUCAUAGACACAUAAACAACAUGAAUGAAAAUAAGAACCCAAAUUUAUUCAUAAUAUUUUAAAGUCAAAUACAAAUUUAUGUCCUAAAAAGAAUACAUGUGUCGGUCUGGUUGGCUUCUAGGGCAUACAUCUAACAUAGUCUACAUCCUUAAUCGAGUUUCUAGUAAAUUAAUACCUUCUACCCCAUAUGAGUUAUGGAGUUGUAGAAAGCUGAGUUUACACUACUUACGUCUUUGGGGUUUAGCUAGAUAUGUUUACAGCCCCUCAUAUAAAUUCGAAAAACUCGGCACUAGAGCAAGCAAGUAUGUGUUCAUCAGAUACCCUGAAAACUCAAAGGGUUAUGUGAUGUAUAAUGAACACCUAGAUGAUGGACUGACCGAGAUAGAGUCUCGUGAUGUGGAAUUCCUAGAAAAAGAAUUUUCAAGCAUUGCUGAAAUAUGAAAAGACGUCAGAUUGUAUGAGUUACAGGAUGACGUAACUCCGUUGAGGGUGAUUGAUCACUUUACGAAGUCACUGAAGGAAGUGGUAGCGAUCCUCCACUAGUGGGAGUGCUUCCAUAAAUGAGAGCAUACUCCUGGAAGCCGACAAUUUUGCCCUUAAUUGCAUAGAAGUGAACAUAGACACAUUCCCCGUCAGCAUUUUGAGAUCGAAUAGGAUAUUUUUAUGUGCACUCUACUCGAUGAUGACGAGCAUGUUUCUUAUAAAGAAGCACUACAAAUACCAGCUUGUAGUGAGUGGAUGGCUAUUAUGAGAGAUAAGAUAGACUCCAUGAGCAAGAACCAUAUAUAUAUAUAUAUAUAUAUAUAUAUAUAUAUAUAUAUAUAUAUAUAUAUAUAUAUAUAUAUAUAUAUAUAUAUNAAAUAUUAGGACUUUUGCAGAGAAAACAUAUGAAAGUCAAACUUCUUAGGAAUAUAUUUGCAAUUCACAAUGUUUGUAAGGACCUGUAUGCAAUUAACCCUAAUAUAUGUGUACUUCCUCACUCUUGCACAUACACAAAUUCUCUCUCUCUUUCUAGCUUUAGUCCAAAAAAGUGCAAAAAAAAGUGGAAGGGAAGAUGAAAGGUUUCAAACUUGGUGCAGCAGUUUUAUAUAAGAUUGGCAAUCCAGCUCGCUGUUCGUGAGCUAGUUCAUGUUCAAUUCAAAAUGAGCUCGAAAUUGAUUGUUGGUUUUAAUAAACGAGCCGAAUAGAGUUGAAUUUUUUGAGCUCAAAAUCUUAACAAGCUAGCCGAACAUAAGUUGGGGUUAGCUCGCUCGUGUUCAGCUCAAUAUAAAUCGAAUAUACAUAUCGAACGGAGUUGAAACUUUUUAGCUCGAAAUCUUAACGAGCCGAACACAAGUUAAGGUCAGCUCACUCAUGCUCGGCUUGAUAUAGGUCAAAUAUAUAUAUAGAAUUGAGCUCCUAUAUAUGUUUUUAAAAGUACAAGUCAUUGGUGCUUGUAAGUUUUCAACCCUUGAAUUAAAGGAUGUACAAUUGGGAUGAUAAUGGUCCCGUAUGGUUGAGUGGAUUGUUGGUUGAAUAAUAUGACUUAAUUGAUGAAAAUAAUCAAAGAGAUAAAUCUAACGGUGAAAAAUUUACAAGCACUAAGUGCUUUGUGCUUUUACAAGCACUAAGUACUUUGUGCUUUUACAAGUACCAUAGCCGGACUUUCUCUCUCUUUCUCUCUCUCUCUCUCUCUCUCUCUCUCUCUCUCUCUCUCUCUCNAAAUUCUAUCAUCGAAAACGGCUCAGGAGCACGGAGGCCUCCGUGCUCCAAAGAGCACAGCAGCCCUGCUCUCUCUCUCUCUCUCUCUCUCUCUAUAUAUAUAUAUAUAUAUAUAUAUAUGUCUUAAUUAUAUAGUAGUGUAGUGACCCACGCAUUACGGCGAGUAAAGAAUAAAAUAUCAGUUUAGUACAAAAAUAGUAAAUAUAAUCUAUAUUAUAAACAAAACACUUUUAAACAAUAAAACUAUAAUGAAAAAAUUUAAUCGUUUCAACAAAACUAUUAAACCUUAUUCAAGAGAUUGUACAUAAAUAAUAAAUAUAGUCUAUAUUAUAGACAAACACUUUUAAAAAAUAAAACUAUAAUGAAAAAAAUUUAAUCAUUUCAACAAAACUAUUAAACCUUAUUCAAGAUAUCACGCUCCGGGACCGCCAAUUUGGUCAGUUCGGGCACGUACACAAACCACCGAACAGAUAGAGCCUUCCCUGUCUGCCCAAGGCUCAACCACCACAUUAGAAUGUAUAAAGAGUUUGCCCAGGAAAAACAUCAGUAUACAUGACUUGCACGAGGGCAAGGAUACAAGAGCGAGUGGAAGUAAAUAUCUAUCUAUUACAACCAUACAAUUAAAUUUUGAGUACAUUAACCCAAAAUACAUCUAUUUUCAUUUGUCAUUACAUACAUUGUUCAUCUCUCAAAACACAUUCUUUACUAGUUCUUUAAUCAAGUACAAAAGAUGACAAUGGAAGGAUACAACUAAUGCCGUGAGAUCCUCUACCUAGGGUGCUAUGCCCUUGCUGCGAUCCUCAACUGCUCCGCUUGCGCUAGGAUCUGCAAAAUGGUGGGGUGAGAACUACAAAAAGUUUCCAAUAGGUUCGGCCGCCGACCCUUCCGACUUUCCCACUAGGUCUAAUCAAGCAUAAUCAGAAAUAGAUAGAUACAUAUGUAACUCAAAACUAAUGCAGCUACCAUUCCUAUAACAUAAAACUAAAACAAUAUACUGUUAUGCUCAUGAUGUAUGUCAUAUUCGUUGUCAUAACCCAAUCAUCUUGGCUAACCUAUUGGUUAAGCCCAACUCACCAAACCAAAUCCCUUUUGUCGGGGAGAAUUUCGCUACAACUCGAUGGAACCGUCUGCUGGGGAGAAUUCCGCUACCGCCCAAGUGUGACAACUCCGGAACUCACAGCAUGAGGUGAAGCGACCACCCUCAAGCACAUUAGACUAUAUGUGAGUAUGAUCCAAUCCUCUAAUCAUGAGGAUAUCAUGUCAACUAAUGUCAUAACACUCAUAAUGUACCAUUCUCUAGCAUUCAAUGCUUAUAGGUGCUAAUCAACUUAUUUAGUCAUAAUGUCACCAUGUUUACUACAUUGUCAAGAUUCACAUUUUGGUUCAUACAUCUAUAGGGUUCUCAUGUGUCCGAUAUUCCAUUCUCAAUUUAAGUAUAACUUUAUUUUAGAAACAUGCAAGAAGUUUCAACAUAUUACCAUUUAUUCCUAUAAUGCAUGAAUUCUAUAGAUACACAUACAUGAUCAAUAUGGUGACUUAGAUAUAAAGAAAAAUCCAACUGUUUCGAAUAGCACUACCCAUCUCGUAAGGAUGCCAAGCUGCGGGAACUCAAGCCCCGCGAUUCAUCGUCGCCAAUUUAACUCGACCCAACCCUAACGAUAGCAAAACAACGUUUUUCCUCAACGGGACACCGUAGGUUCGAAGAAACUCCAAUUCGAGUUGCCCAACGUGUCGAAUUAUCCUUCAAUUAGGAUUACAAGAGAUCAAUUUCAUCAUAUAACUCAUUUCCUAUAAAACCCUAAUUUUGACCCUAGGGUUUACAUACACCAAGAAUACCAAAUUCUUUUGGGGAUUCAUGGACUACACUAAGUUCUCAUAUCUCAUGAAUCCUAAAAACAUGCAUUUUAGGGUAAUAAAAUCAAACCCUAACUCAUAUUGCACAAGAGACUCACCUUGACCACUUUGCACCACAAGCUCUUCCUUGUUCUUGAGCUUCUUCUCCUCCAAAAGCUUCAAUCCACUCUUUAAAUCUCCCCCAAAACACUCUUGUUGGAGAGAUUCUAGAGAGAAAAGGAGAAGAGAUGAGGAGAAUAUGAGAAAUGAGAAGCUUUUCUCAUGCAAAAGGAAGAGAAUGCAUUGGGCCCCUUUUAUAAGCCCACACAAUUACAUUUAAGCCCUCCAAGUAUUCACAUUUGCAACCAUUCAAUUUCUGCACUUCGCAGAGCUGAGUAUCGAUACUCAAAUUGGUGUACCAGUAAGCAAGUCCUCUGGUACCGGUACCCCAAACUCAGUACCUCAACCCGAGAGCUGGUUAUUUGGGUUUGCUACUGAGUACCGGUACCGAUACACGGCCUUCCAAUACCGGUACCCCCAGCUCAAUACCACAACCUGAGAGCUGGUAUUUUUGCACUUGUAUUGGGUACCGGUACUCCAUUCCUGGUUUCGGUACUCAAUGCAAAUUCUGUUGUUCCAGCAGACUUAACACUUCGGAAUCCAUUUUCACGCCCACUUUACGCCGAAAAUACUUAAAUAUUCUCGAAACUCACUUCUAACUAUCCCAACGUCUUCAAGGCUGUACGGGAACUUUGCCUAUUGCCUUCAUACUACACUUCGAUCAAUUUGACCAAAGUUGGCAUUACGAUACGGAGAUUCGGUAUAUUACACAAAAGAAGUCGCAUAUCAUACAAAUGGACGAUUAAAAUUAUUUCUAUAACACAAUAAUCAAAUAAGAAAAAAAAAUGAGAAAAAAAAGUAGGCUCCACUCUUUCCCAAAUCAAGGAGGUGUGUAUAUGUAGAAUGUAGCCAUGCAUGAGGAUUAAUAUAUAGGUAUAGAUAUAAAGAGAACUAAGCUGUUAUACUAUCGAUAGCACGAAGGCCUCCAUAUUACCAAAUUGUUUUCGAUGAUGCGGCUUCCGAAUCGACAAUCGGUUCUGUUAAAAUGAUGUAUACUGUUGAAAAUAUAUAGAAAUCAAAUUUCAUAUAUAUAUAUAUAUAUAUAUAUAUAUAUAUAUAUAUAUAUAGAAUUAUGCUACUAUACUAUCUAUAGUACGGAGGCUCCGGUACUAUAGUCUUGUUUUCGAUCUUAGGGUGUUCAAAUUAAUGAUUCAUACCAUUAAAUAUGAUCUAGGGUAUAUGAAGUCCUUAGGAAUAAAAUUUUAGUUUUUUUCGACAUUGUUUACUUAGUAAAUAAAUUAUGUCAAAAUGGACAGUGAAAAUUGAAUAAUCUUUAAAAUUUGAGCAUAGGACUUUUAAAUUCAAGAUCAAGAAUGUUAACCUUAAUCUAGAUAGUUUAAAGUAUUUUCUAUCAAAAUUUGAAGAAAUUCAAAUUCUUCUACACCGUUAAACUCGAAACUCGCCAUAGUAGCUAUUGAAAAUUGAUAAUUUUGAAAUGGUUUGAUCAUAAAGUAAACUAUGUCGAAAAAAUAUAAAAUUUUAUUUCUAAAAACUUUAAAUAUCCUAGAUCAGUUUUAGCGGUGUGGAUCGUUGAUUUAAAUACCCUAAAAUCGAAAACGAGACUAUAGUAUCGGAGACUAACUCUCUCUCUCUCUCUAUAUAUAUAUAUAUUAUAAAUUUUUAUUAUUUGAAUAAUAGGCUAAUUGGAUACCGGCUAUUGUUGGGCUUGUUGAGAGUCCUAAUUUUACAAACUACAAAAAUAAUAUACAAAAUAUUUUAAUUUUGAUAAAUAUAAAUUUUAUUACCAAUCUAAUAUUUAUUAAGAUAUAUUUAUUAUUAAUCAAUCAAUUCAUUUAGAAGCACCGGCAUUUAUCCAGUGCAAAAAAAAAUCACAUAUUUCAUUUGAAGACCGGAAGAAGUCUAUUGUUUAAUAUUUGUACUAUAUUAUCAAGGCCAAUUUGCAUAAAAAAUUCACAAGUUUUGAGCUUUUGCAAAACUGGACUGUCUUUUUCGAUUUUGCAGAUUUGGUUCGAAUUUUUAGUAAAUUGACCAAAAUACCCUUAUACAUUUUUUUCUCUCCUUUUUUUUCUGGCGUUUUUUUUUUUUUCCUCACCGAAGAAGGUAACAGAGGCGAAGGCGGAAACGGCCCCCCUCGCCUCUGCCCCUCACGCUCUCACCCUCGCCCGCGCACCCCCGCCCUCCUUGCCUCCGACCCCGUCGAGGUUGCGAUGCGACUCUCCUUUUCUUCUCUCCGACCUUUUUCCACCGCCUCCGCAAUCCUCCGCGACGAUAACGAAGGCGGUACCGUGUCCUCUUCCUCCGCCUUUGCGGGAACUCGCGUUCCCAUCACCGCCGCCAACGAUAAAGAGAAAGCACUUCUCGACAUCGAAAAACUCGCCGGCGGGUUGGAGGGGGGGGCACGCGGCCCACCCGCUUACCCCAGAAGGCGGUAGCGAGCGCUCCGCCUCGACGGUGUAGGAGGCGAGGAGGGCGAGGAAUGCACGGGAGCAUCUCUAGAUUAGCAUUUUUAUUUAUUUAAAACAAAAAAAAACUAAUAGGCAAAAAACUAGAGAAUAAUAAAAAAAACCAGAGAAGAAUGAAGAAGAAGAUGAAUUUGCACUGUUUUAAAAGAACGUUACACUAUUAUAGACGUAAGUUGUAUUCUUUUAAAUAUAAAUUGCAUCAUUUAAGAUGAAAGUUACACUCUUUAAACGAAAGUUACACUCUUUGAGAGAUAUUUACACUGUUUCUCCUCUUGUUGAACUCUUUGAUGUGUAAACUGUAUCUUCAAAAUGAAAGUUACACUAUUUAAACGAAAGUUACACUAUUUGAGAGAUAUUUAUACUAUUUAUCCUCUUAUUGCACUCUUUAAGAGGAGAUAUUUACACUAUUUCUCCUCUUAUUGCACUCUUUCUCCUCUUGUUGCAUUAUUUCUCCUUUGAUGUGUAAACUGCAUUCUUUAACAGGAGAAAUAAUGUAAAUAUCUCUUAAAGAUGGCAACUUUCGUUUAAAUAGUAUAACUUUCAUCUUAAAGAGUACAGUUUACAUCUCAAAUAGUGCAACAAGAGGACAAACAGUGUAAAUAUCUCUUAAAGAGUGUAACUUUCGUUUAAAGAGUCUAACUUUUAUCUUAAAGGGUGCAGUUUACAUUUCAAAGAAUGCAAUUUACGUCCAUAAUAGUGCAACGUUCUUUUAAAACAGUGAAUUUAAUCUUAAUAGUGCAACCUCAUCUUCUUCUUACUUCUUUUCUGGUUUUCUUUAUUAUUAUCUAAUUUUUGGCCUUUUAGUUAUUUUUUUAUUUUAAACAAAUAAAGUACUAAUUCAGAUAUGCCCCCGUGCAUUCCUCGCCCUUCUCGCCUUCGGCACCGUCCAGGCCACGCUCGCCGUCGCCCUCUAGGGUAGGCAGGUGAGCUGUGUGCCCCUUCCCUGGCCCCCGAGCUUCUCGGUGAUGAGAAGUGCUUUCUCUUUAUCGUCGGCGGCGACGAUGGGGAUGCGGGUUCCGAAAAAUGGGUUUGGUAGGUGUAAAAUUCGCUUUCGCCGGAGUGUAACUAUUUUUCUCCAUCUCCCUCGCCGGCGUGCUUCUCGACCCCGAGAGACACUUCCUCUUUGUCAUCAGCGGCGGCAGUGGGGACAGUGGGUUUGUUUGGCGGGUAGAAAAUCUGCUACAGUGGAGGUGGAGGGCGAAGGCGGAGAAAGAGGACGUAUUACCUUCCUCGUUAUCGUCGCGGAGAACUGUGGAGGCGGUGGAGGAGGGUCGAAGAGAGGAAAAAAAAAAAGGGAGUCGCAACGCGGCCUCGGCGCGGUCGAAGGCGAGUAGGGCAAGAGGUGCAUGGGCGAGGGUGAAGACGUGAAGGGCAGAGACAAUGAGGGCCGUUUCCACCUUCACCUCCGUCGUCUUCUUCGGCAAGAAAGAAAAAAAAAAAACGCGAGACAAAAAAAGGAGAGAGAAAAAGAUAUAAGGGUAUUUUAAUCAGUUUACUAAAAAUUCAGACUUAAUAUGCAAAAUCGAAAAGGACGGUCCAAUUUUACAAAAGCUCAAAACUUAUGAAUUUUUUAUGCAAAUUGACCUAUUAUCAAUAACCAGCUAAUUACAUAUCUCGUUUUGAAAGAAAAAAAUAUAAUAAAAGUAUUAUUUUAGUAACUAUGUUGGAGUGGAUGAAUUUAAUAAAAUAAUUUGAGUAGUUAGUGUUUUUUUUUUUUUUUGAGAGAUAGAUAGCACGUUAUCCACUUCGUUUAUUUUAUUUAGAAAUAAACUUAGCUAGAAAUAUAAAUCAAUUAGAAUUCGAAUUUAGAUCUCGGGUAUCAGAAGUCCUUUGCCAUUUAGAAAUUUUAUUUAGUGUAUUUUUUUUUUUUAUCAAAUACUUUGAGGGGAAUAAUUUUAUCAGGUAAAGAGAAGUAUCCAGAACUUUUUGCGUUGGCACGUACGUGCGUGAGCGUUAUUGGUUCGCAUGUAAAGCAAAUUAAAAAUCUCGAAUAAAAUAACAAAAAAUAGGAGGGGAAUAGUCAACAACUGUGUUGGAAAUGCCACCGCUAAACUUAGUGCCAUGGAAACGCGUGUACUACUUUCCUUGUAUGACAAGAGUGCCAUUUUUUAUUAUAAUUUUCCUUAUUUACGAAAAUAGCUAAAUUUUUAUUUCAACGUAAAAUCGAUUUAAUUCUUACUUGUAUCCGAACCAAACGAAAUCUUAGAAUAACUAAAAAUAAACUUAAUUUUUAUAUUUGAAUGCUAAAUUUAUUAAGUAAUAAUUAAUAAUGAGUAUUGUUACUUAAUAAAUUAAUUAACCACAGAUAGCUUAAUAAAUCAAUUUAAUUAUUUAUUUAGUAGUUGGGUUAGCUAUUAUACUAUUGAUAGUACCAAGAGCUUGGUGUUAUCAAAUUUUUUGUCAUUAGAUCUAUCUCUUUAACUAUUUUCACCCUUUAAAUCAUACUUAUAUAAUCAACCAUCUACUCAAUUCUAGAAAACCCACUAGCACGAUUUGGACGGCAUAUCCUAUUUUUUGAAAGAAAGGUAGUACGCUACCCGCUUCGUUUAUUUCAUUUAGAAAUAAACUUAGCUAGAAAUGUGAAUCAACUAGGAUUCGAACUUAGGACCUCAGAUACCAACCACCAAGCUCUUUGCCACUUGCUCUAGGGAUGGUUGAUUUUGGACAGCAUAUCCUAGAAUGGACUAUAUGAUGAAAGUGCACACUGUAGAUAGAUUGCAGUUAGAUUACUUUUUAUCUUAUAUUUAUUUAUCUGUACAUUAUUGUUACACUAGUAAAGGACCCGCGCGUUGCGGCGGAAUAAUUCCGUAAAAAUAAAUAUAUAGAUAAAAUAAAAAUAGCAAAAAGAAGAGCCAAAAAAUUAUAUAAAAAAAAAGCAACUGAAAAAUAAACAACUAUUGCUGCAAUAAAAAUAUAAAAAUAAAUUAUAAGAAUGAUUAAAAAAAAUAAAGAAAAAAAUCAUACAAAUAAGUAAUUAUAUUUAUAGCAGCAAUAAAUGUUGAGAACUAAAAUAAUAUAACUUAUAUAUAUUUCAAAUCAGAAAUUAAAACUAAUUAAAGUUUGAAAAUCAAAGUGUCACAUGCCUCAUAGUUUAAAUUAUAACACAUUAAAGUUCGAGAAUUAAAGUGUCACCCGUCUUAUAGUUUUAAGGACAAAAAGUGUAAAUCCAAUCUUUCAAAAUUUUGUUUUUAUUAUCCAACUUUUUUAUAUUUUAGAUUUGAGUUAGUUAAUAAUACUUUAGCUUUAAAAAUUUGAAUGUAUCGCUUAACUCUAAAGAUUUAAUUAGUAUGUUUUAAGCGAUUCUUGCAACUAAAUUUUAUAUAAUAUAAAAUAAACUUAAACUCCAUUAAUAUUUUUUUGAUUUUUUAGUGUACAAUCUAUAUCUAAAUAUUCAAAAUUAUAAAAUUAAAAUUUAUAUUUAAUACAAAUAUUCUAAACUCCCACGCGCACGCGCCUUGCUCGCUCCCCUGCGUGCGCCCGCGCUCGCCCCCGCUCCCUUCGCCGCCACGUGUAUAAAAACUGAGGAUUCACCGCCAUAUAGAAACUGAGGAUUCAUAUAUGUAUAUAGAUAGAUAUAGGAUUGAAUAUUUUGUUGCAUAACUCUGAUUUAUCCUCGAAUAUGAGUAGAUAUAGGUCUCUUUCUUUAACGUUUUGCAACUCCAUAGGAUUUAAAUUCAAAUUUUGGUUUUGAAUCAUAAAGAGAUGCGGUGCUGCGAUUUGAACUAGGAGGUGGUUCACAUUCUAACAAGAUUCAAAUGAUAUUGAAUUAAAAAAUAAUAAAUUUAAUUGGAUAAAAAAAAUUGGGUUAAUUUCAUACAGGUCUCUGCAAACAUAAUAAAUGUCAAAUAUAUCUCUACAAAAUUCAACUUUCAUAUAUUGUCUCUACAAAAGUUCUAAUAUUUUCAAAUAUGUCAUUAACGUUGGAAUUAAUUAGAAAAAUUUAAUUAACCAUAAGUUAAAUACUAAACCAUUGUUAGUUUUUGGCAUUUUUAUUCCUCUUAUAUUACACUGUUAUGCCUUUUGGAGGGACAUAUUUGUGAUAUCAGUUGUCUAACGGUAACAAAUCAGAGAGAUAUAUUUGAAAAUAUCAGGGCUUUUCUAAGGACAACAUAUGAAAGUUGAACUCUGUAGGAAUAUAUUUGUUAUUUACUAUGUUUGCAGGGACCUGUAUAAAAUUAAUCCAAAAAAAUUCAUAAAUUAAAUUUUGACAAAAAUGCAGCUAUUUUUCAUGAGAAAUAAAUUUAUUAGUCCAAUACAAUAUCACCUAGUUAUUUAUAAUUAUUAGGUAUAAUUAUAGGCAAAUUAGUUUAAAACGAUUAUAAUCUAUAUAUAGAGCUAGUCUCCUAUACUUUCUAUAGUACAGGGACUCCGAUACUAUAGUCUCAUUUUCGAUGUUAGGGUGUUCAAAUCAACGAUCCACACCGUUAAAACUGAUUUAUGGUAUUUAAAGUUUUUAGAAAUAAAAUUUUAUAUUUUUUCGACAUAGUUUACUUUAUGAUCAAACUAUUUCAAAAUUGUCAAUUUUUAAUGGCUACUAUGGCGAGUUUGGAGUUUAACGGUCUAGAAAAAUCUAAAUUGCUUCAAAUUUUAAUAAAAAAUACUUUAAGCUGUCUAGAUUAAGGCUAACAUUCUUGAUCUUGAAUUUAAAAGUCCUAUGCUCAAAUUUUAAAGAUUAUUCAAUUUUCACUGUCUAUUUUGACAUAAUUUAUUUAUUAAGUAAUCGAUGUCGAAAAAACUAAAAUUUAUUCCUAAAAGCUUCAUAUACCCUAUAUCAUAUUUAACGGUAUGAAUCGUUAAUUUGAAUACCCUAAAAUCGAAAAUAAGACUAUAGUAUCGGUGCUCCGGUACAAUAGAUAGUAUAGUAGCCUAAUUCUAUAUAUAUAUAGAGUUGGGCUAGAAUACUAUUGAUAGCAAAAUAUUUUUUUUGCUAUCAAGUUUUUAGCAUUUGGAUCAAAUCCUUUCAUCAUUUCUAACAAUUGGAUUAGAUAUUAUAACCCAGUGGGGACCACUCAACCCUAGGGGAACCACUCAACCCUAAGUGACUAAUAUCAUCCUAACCCUACAAUUUCUCAUCCAAUGAUUAAAAACUUGAUAGUAAAAAGAGCAUUUUGCUAUCAAUAGUAUUCCAACCUAGCUCAUAUAUAUAAACUACAGGUGAAAGUAAAAUAACAACCUCGAAUUUAUUAGGUGCAUAAAAGGCGGGCUGAUUUUGUGUUUUCAUAAAAAUAUGCCUUUUUUGGGAAUUUUGCAUAUAAAAUUUGAAUUUCUAGUAAACUAAUCAAAAUAUCAUUAUUUCUUUUUCUCUCUCCCUUCUCUCUCGUUUAUUUUUCUCCUCCCGCUUCGUCUCCUUCCUUCUUAUCGUUUCUUCCUCUCUUUCUGCUUCCACUUUUUGUCUCUCCUUCUCUUCCUCCACCAUCUUCACGUUGACGCCACACUUCUCUCUUCUACCUGGUCCACAUCUCCGUCGAGGCCAGCAGUGGAGGCGCGGACUCAAAUAUGGUAUAGAUCACAAAGGUGAGGCUGUGGCAGAAAGUGUGACUAUGGACGGCAACGGUGACAGCGAUGAUUAGUGCUAUAGGGUUUGAUUUAGAAAUCAGUAUUUAAUAAUUAAAUAUAAUAUUAAAAUAAUAAUAUAUAUGUAUUUGAUAAAAUUAAAAGUAAUAAUUAAAUUUAUUUUAGAUAAUAAUAUAUAGGGUUUAAAGUGCAUCAAGUUAGUACUCUGUGUUUUUAUUUUUGUAUCAAGUUAGUACUCUGUGAUUUUAUUUUUGUAUCAAAUUAGUACCUUAUGGUUUUAUUUUUCUCUCAAUGAAAUAUUAUACCACAGGAUACUAAAGUGAGAAAGUGCAAAAUCACAGGGUACUAAUUAACUUGAUACACUUUAAAUCACAGGGUACUAAAGUGAGAAAGUGCAAAAUCACAGGGUACUAACUUGAUACACUUUAAAUCACAGGGUACUAAAGUGAGAAAGUGCGAAAUCACAGGAUACAAACUUGAUACACUUUAAACCAUAGGGUGCUAAAGUGAGAAAAAGUGAAACCACAAGGGGGAUAUUUGAAGCUUUUCCUACAUUUUAUAAGAGAGGGCAAUUGUUUAUAUAUCCUUAAAAAGUUUUCGACUUUCUUAUUUAUUUUUCCUAGAAGGCUAAUAUUAAAAAUAUAUUUUUAAGAUUCCAAAGUCUGUCAAAUAUACCUCCGUAGUUAAAUUCUAUUUAGUGCAUUAUUGGGAAUAACUUUUAUCUAUGUAAAAUUACCAUUUUGCGUUUUAAAAUAUAUCAUCCUACCGUCACUGAUUUUUCGUGUUUGGCUCAUUUCGUAAACGAGCCGAUCUCGAGCUGGUUCAUUAAAGUAUCGAGCCGAAAAAUUUAGCUUGUGUUCGGCUCAUUUAUUAAUGAGUCAAACACGAGCUGGCUUACAAACGAUAAGUUAAAAGAUUAGAAAAGAUAUAUAUAGAAAAUAAAUUUAUGAGAUCUUACCUAUUAGAUUUUAAUCUAAUGGUUGAAACUUUACAGAUAAAUGGACAUUUUUAUAAUUGAGUUGGGCUUUAUAUUUAGGUUGAGCUAAAAAUCAAAUAAUGAAAUAUGUAUUAUAUAUAUAAUUAUUUAUUUACAUAUAUAAAUAUAAAUUAUAUAAAUUAUAAAAAUAUAAAAUAUAUGUAUUUAAGCUGUUAUCGAGCUGAACAUAAGCGAGUUGACCCAAGCUUGUGCUCGGCUUGUUUAUUAAAUGAGCUGAAAAAUUCAGCUCGUGUUCAGCUCGUUUACUAAACGAGCGAUUCAAGCUCAAGCUUAUUUCGAGCGGAGCGAGCUAGAUUGCCACCCAUAAUAAUGGGUACUAAUAGUGGGAGUUUUUUUUUUUUUUUUUUUUUUUUUUUUGAGAGAGAGAGAGAGAUAGGUAGCACGCUACCUGCUUCGUUUAUUUCAUUUAGAAAUAAACUUAGCUGAAAAUGUGAAUCAACUAGGAUUCGAACUUGGGUCUCGGAUACCAACCACCAAGCCCUUGCCACUUGCUUUAGGAACGGUCGGUUAGUAGGAGUAUUUUUUAAUAAUGAAAAAACUAUAUAAAGGGUAUAUAUGUUUGAAAUAAAAAAGAGUAAAAAUAAAUAAUGUAUUUCGGAGCUUUCGAGGAUGUGAGGGGUUUAUAAGUAAUUAGUGUAGUAACUCGUGUGUUGCAGCGGAUAGAUACUAGUAAAGUAAAAAUUUGUAGAGAAUGAAAUAUCGGCAAAAUGCAAAAAUAGCAUACAAAAAUCAUAUUAUAAAUAAAAUAUUAUUUUAAAAAAACUACAUUUUGAUAAAGAAAAAAAAUCAAUCAUUCAAAACGAAAUGAUCAUGUUGAAGAGAUGUCGCAUAUCAUGUUUGUAGAUUACCGUCAAUGCAAGGUUCAAGCAAAAAAGUGGGCACCGGUUCGAUUCAAGCAAAUAAAAGGAAACCUGGUUCAGUUCAAGUAAAGAAAGAAGAGAACUUGAGCUGGUUUAGGAUGGAGCUCUUAUUCAUCAAUUAUUGGUUCAGUUCUGGUUCGCUUCGGUCCCAUGAUUUCAAAGUGAAAAGAGAAAACCGAUUCAAUGAUGGAAACAUAUAGAACAGCUGGUUCGGUCCAAUAAUUUCAAAGUGGAACUCUUUAUUCAUCCAUUAUUGAUUCGGUUCAAACAAUUAAAAGAAAAAUCUGGUUCAAAAAUGAAAAUAUAUAAAAUACUUGAUUCAGCUCAAUCCAAUGAAGCAAGUUGACCCAGUUCGAUGCAAGCACAAACAGAGGGAAACCAUGUUCAAUUCAAUCAAAGAAAGGUUGAUUUAUUUGAAAGACUUGAGCAAGUUCAAGAUGGCACCCAGCAAAUCGAUUUGGAGGACUUGAGCUAGUUCAAGCAAAGAAAGGGGAACUUGAGGAACCCACACUUAACAAAGAAAAGGAAUGUCGCCAUCUGGUAAGAUUAAGAGAAAUAAUGUAUAGUAGUAUAGAGACUCGCGCGAUGCAGCAUGUAGAUAAUAGAAGCAAAAUUUUAAAAUUUUAAUAAAAUUUAUAUUUAUAGUUUAUUGUUGUAUAGGAAUCUAUACCAUGUUAAGCAUAGUCAAUUUGCAUGACUAAAUUCAACUGUUAAAAAAAUAAAAUUAUAGUUAGAAACUUAUAUAUAUAUUUUAAAUUAUCGAAAUACAGUAAGAGACAUUCAAUUUUAUCAUAUUAUGUGCCUCUUGAACAUUUCGUUGUGAAAGAUAAAAAAGAGCUAGCUCCAGUGCAGCUGAAUCAACACAGUGGACACUUAUAUGGACCGCGGCUCGGUUUUGCAAGACGAUACUUCUCGAAGGAGACAACGUUCUUCGCAUGCUCUUCUUCUUCUUCAUCAUCCUCAUCAUCUUCAUUAACACAAUGAGAGAGAGAACUAGAUGAGUGUGGGGUGGGAGAUUAGAUGAUAAUGUUCUUUUUUGCAUGAAAAAUAAUAGACCAUGCAAAAGAGAGGGGAGCGGGGGGAUUAAUGGAGGUGAGGAAUGUAUUAGAAUUAUAAAGCCCACUCAUUGACGAAAUAUGAUGCAUAUAAUUAAAUAUUAUAUUUUGAAUUAAUUAAUUCUCAUGAUUUUAAAGGACUGAGAGGUGAAGUAUAUGUCAUGAAUAGAGAAGAAGGGAUGGGAGAAGUCAAGAGCAUAUGUCAGUUCAAAAAAAGGCUAGUAAGGUUGCAAAAAAACUGGCAACGUGAAAAAAAAAAAAAAAAAAAAAAAAAAAAANUAAUAGAAGGUAGGUAGGUAUUGAUUAUUCCUUAUACAAGAACACGUAACGGAACGGGCCCACGGUGCAAUUAAGCCGGUGAUUACCAUUGUUCACCCAGCCCUAAAAUUUGUUCCCCAUUUCCGGAGGGGGAGUGGGUGGUAGAAAACCCAAAUCUCGAGCAUCAUCAUCCAUGGCGAAACCCGUCGACUCGGAGCCGCUGCUCCCCUCUGCGUUGCCCCAACCCUACUACGCGUCCCCUCCUCCGCCGUACUACUCCUCCGGCGACCCUCCUCCUCCGCCGCCGGAACCCUACCUCGUCGUCCUCCCCAUCCGCCUCCGCCGCCGCAUCCGCCUCCGCCGCCCCUGCUGCUCCCUCCUCUCCUCCGCCCUCGCCCUCCCCGUCGUCCUCGUCCUCUCCCUCGCCCUCGCCCUCUUCCUCCUCUGGCCCUCCGAUCCCGACCUCUCCGUCGCCCGCCUCCGCCUCGACCGCGUCCGCGUCGUCACCUCCCCCGAAGUCGCCCUCACCGUCGCCCUCGGCCUCCGCGUCCGCGUCCGCAACCCCGACUUCUUCGCCCUCCACUACGACUCCCUCUCGGCCUCCAUCGCCUACCGCGGGCGCCCGCUCGGCAACGUCGCCUCCAGCGGCGGCCGCGUGCGCGCGCGCGCCGUGUCCUACGUCGACGCCGAGCUCGAGCUCGACGCGAUCCGGGUCAUCGGCGACGUGUUCUACCUCAUCGAGGACCUCGCCAGGGGCUCCAUCCCCUUAGAAACCGUCACCGAGGUCAAGGGGCGCCUCCGCCUCUUCUUCUUUGACGUCCCCGUCCAGGUGUGUGCGAAACGAAACCCUUGUUCGUAUUGAUUGUUGGAUUGCCCUUCAUGAAUGUUGUUUGUUGUGAUAGGAGAUAAAAGUUACCAUAUUGAAAAGUUUUAAGCUGUUAAGGUAUUGCUAGAACUUUAUGUUGAAUGAUCAUAUCGAGAUCCUCAUGAACCGAGUUUCUUUAACACACCAGUCAUUUAGGAGAAUUCAUGUUGGGAUCCUCGUAGUCCAUUGCAUCACUUUGCUUUGGGAAACGCCCUAACUUGUUUGCCCUUCUCAAAUCCACCAUUUCUAUUGAUUACUGAGAUUUAUGCUGGCCGUCGGCCUACCAUGGCCUCUUUGUUGAGACUAAGGAUCGGAAUCGCUAAAAGUCAUGUGCAGAGUUUAGCUACCCGUUUUUAAAUAUGUGAAAUUUCUGAACUUAUUUAUGUAGACUCUUUAUUGUUGGCAUCGCCUUAGAAAUAUGACAAUUAGGGAUCAUCAUAUUAGUCCGCGCUAACUGCAUGUAUAGGCUGUUCCUCUCUGAUUUGCUGUAUACUAGACUACUAGUGCGUGAUGAAAUAUGUAUGGGCCUUCACAGAGGGGAACAUGCAAACUUCAUCUAGUGUUGUUGCAAAUUCCUUUAUGGAGUGUACUGUAAAAACGGUUGUAUCUGUAAACCCCCCCGUCAUGAUGGAAAAGUUUUGAUGAUAAUAGUGAUUUAAUACUAUUUACGGUCUCAGACUCUCCGCUGCAUGCUCAAGUUUCAUGCCAAUUAUUAUUUAGGAGUUUGUCCUUUUGCCCAUUUACACGGUUUGUGUUUCUAACAAAUUUAGAUUGACGAGCAAAGUCACUCGUCUAUGAGUUUGCUAGAGAAAUGGAAAGUUUUGGAAGGAGUACAUGUAAAAGAAUCAAAGAUAUAUUCUUGUUGACUAAUUAUUACAUUGAUGUCUCCUAACCAUCAUUAAAGGUUAAAGUGUUCUUUUCUCCCCUUAACUUUUGCAUGUUGUUAUAUAUCAUAUGACAUGAAUGUCAUAUGUCAUGGCUUCUUUACGUCUCUGCUCUUUUUGUCGUAUAGUUGGAUCUUACUUUAGAGGCAUUUAGACUCUUGCAUACACUAUAAUAUCAGUUAUCAAGUCUUACACACUUGAUCAAUUUAAGAGACAAAUGAACUUUGUUAAAUUAAACUAACAUAAUCAUGCACUAUGAUGUGACAAAUAUGGCUUGGAUUGAUAUGAUAAAUCUUUUGAAGGAAGAGGGAAAAAAGAAAAAAGCCUAGGCUAUUCUAAAUAUACAGCUAUAGUUGUGCACUUAUAUGCAUAUGUCCAUGUGUUUAUGAAUGAACAAGAAAUGAUUUGAUUUGGAGGUCUUCUAUUUAAGCGAAUUUACCAAAAUGUGAUGCUCUAUUUGUGUUAUUUUAUGUGCUUUCCAUUCUUUUGACAGUCUGAUAGAUGGGUGAGUGACAUUUGACUAGUUUUGAUCUUUUUAGUCUUAUUUGGGAAGAUCAAAUAGAUGGAGAAAAUUAUAACAAUGGCUCUUCACUUUUAAAUAUGUUGUAAAGGAUUUAAUUAUUUUGUGUAGUCAAAUUGUUACAUACCUGUGUAUUCACGUGCAUAGGUACAGAACUACAGAUUCAUGCAUACUUUCAUGUAAAAGAAUUAUUCUGAUCUGCUUGCUUUCCAUUUAAGUGAAUUUCUUGUUGCAACCUAAGAUAUUAUAUAACCAACACAAGAUCUCUUAUUUGUUUAACUAACAAAAGUUAAUAUCUUAGCAGGGUUAAUGGACAAAAAAAUAACUUUAUUGCAAAGUAUGUAGAAGAAUGUUUGAAUUAUCUGAGCCAUAUAUGUGUUGAUUCUAUUGGAAAAUAGGAUUUAUAAAGAAGUAUCAAAUUUGUGAAUUAUCUGCUGAGUGUUGUCUCCAAUAAUCCAAUAUGAUGUAGAACACAGAGGCACCUAGAUAGUUGAAGUAUCCCUGCAUUAUUAUUUAUGGCUAAAAUUGAUGAAGCAUGACAAAUGUUAAGGUACAAAAGGUUGCCAUUUAUUAGGGCAUAUGAGCCCUAGAAUUUCUUGCUCUAUUCUUAAAAAUAUGAUACAUCGAAUGUCAAUUAUUGCAUAAUUCUUGGUAUCACUAUUCAUUCCACAUACACUUCGAUUACAAUCGGAAGUCUUGUAUCCUUUGGGCAUUGUCUCAGCUAUGGUGUCCAAACUUUGGAGAGCCAUGCAUCAAUUUUCAUGCCGAUUUUCAUGCCUACAAUGUAUGAAGCAUCAUACAGUAAGUUUUAAUGUUUGUCAUCCAAUGGUUCAUAUUUUGAACCUUAGAUAUUCACAUUUUGUACUUGAUAAAUUUGAUUCUUUGGAAAUCAUUCUAGCAUACUCUUUCAUUCUAAUGUUAGAUAAUAUGUGUGCAAAGUCACAUACAAAGACUAGUUUCUGUUAAGCUGAUGAUUUCAGCUGAAUGGUUCAGACAAAUAUUGUGUAGAGGGGGUGGUACCACGAUCAUUGAGAUUACUCCAGCUUCUAUAGCAUAUGCUGCAAACUAAGGAUGGCAACUUACCACUAAAAGGAAAACAGGGUCUUAUAAUCACUCAUUCCCCCUUCCAUUUAAAUACCCUGGCGAUUUCAUUUGUAAAAUGCGCCUCUAAAGACUGGCCCUGCCCCUCUGUGGCUACGACCCAUCUCAUCUCAGUUGCAGCAAUUAGAUCAGGGCAGGGUAUGGUGGGUUCUAACCAGGCACGAUUUAAAUCAGCCGCCUCCUCAGACUCGCAAUGUCUCGAAAUCUCUGCUUUGCCCUGACCCUGUUUGCUGUUUAAGUUGCUAAGUUAUUGUUCUUGUUGGAGCAUCUCCGGAUGUGCUCUACCUAUUCAUCUUAUCCGUCCCCACUCCCUUCCUGAGUGAAAGCUUCAUUGCCUUUUCAUCUAAUCACUACUCAGUAUUGUAGAUAACGUUUUGUCACCUUCUUUGCACCUUCAAAAGCGUUACAAGAAUGCCUUGCCAUAUGGAGAACAUCAACAUGUGUCAUCAGCUCCAUGUGGAAGACGGUAUUUGUGGUUGAAGAUAUUGUAAGAACCCGUCUCGUAGUCGAAGGUCUUCAUCUCCUACGUAUUUUAGAAAGGUUGCGUACGUUGCAGUUUUUCUGCUACUAUUUUUUUUCCUGAGAAACAGGUCUGUAGUAAGACAUGAUAUGCAUUAAUUCUAUUUCUUGGGCACCUUUUACACAAAUGAAAUCCUAUUUGUUCAGUGCUAGGUUGUCCACCUUUUCUACAGCUUUCGAUGGUUCUUCUGACCGAGAACAAAUUUACUUGAAUUUCUUGUUUUCCUUUCCAGGGGAGAAUUUCUUGCUCCGUGUACGUAAAUCCAGAAAACCAGACCAUUAUUGAACAAGAUUGCUACCCUGAGGUGAGGAACUCUGAUUGUGUUUUUCUUUAUCCAAACGAUUCCGUGCUCGUGGGUUGUUCUGAUAUGCAAUUUUUAUUUCAGUGAUAUUGCUAUUGGCUGAAAGCAAUCUUCGUGACUACGCUAUUAAAGAAGAAAACUUUUCUGGCUUCUAUUCUUACUAUGUUUUCAUGUAUGGAGUGAUGUUGUUAGGUAACUUCAUGUCAAUCUCUGAAUCGGGAAACACGCGAAACAAAAUGUACUGUAGAUAAGUCACUCAUAAUGUGUUGUUAUGAAGUUGGUUAUACUGCAUUUAAUAUCAAUUGGUGCUUGUAAUGUAGCAGAUAUCUCAAAUCUGUGCGCCUGCUGCUAUUUUAUUUUUCCCUUAGAUAUGAUUUGCUUCGGAACAUCUUCUAUAUGUUGGAUCUUUCGUUAUCUUCUUCAUUCUACCUUUUUAAAUACUUCCUUUUUAUCUGCAGUAAACUAAUUGUUUAGAGAGUUUUGCAAAUUCGAUUUAGCUGUCUACAAAAUUUUUUUUAUAUUGUUUUCUACUAUUUAACUGGCGACUUUUAAUAAAUUUAUUAGAUUUUGUUCCAAGGGCUAAUUUCAUAAAGGUUUUUACUCAUACAGUGAAAAGCAAAUAUAUUUUUACAAAAUUUAACUUUUAUAUAUUGUUCCUACAAAAAUUUUAAUGUUUUUAAAUAUAUUUCUUUGAUUUGUUACCGUCAGAGAAUUGUUUAUAUUUUCAAUUUUGCCAUCACAAAAUAUGUCUCUUCAAAAGACAUAACAAUAUAAUAUAAGAGGGGUAAAAAUAUCAAAAAUUAAUCAGAAUAAAGUAUUUAACUUAUGUUUAACUAAAUUUUUCUAACGUAUUCUAAUGGUAAAGACAUAUUUGAAAAUAUCAAACAUUUGCAAGAAUAAUAUAUGAAGUUGAACUCUGUAGAAAUAUAUUUGUCAUUUAUUAUAUUUACAGGGACCAGUGUGAAAGUAACUCAUGUUGAAAAUAAUAAAUUUGCUAAUAGUGAUUAGGAGUAGGGGUGGAAACGAGCCGAGCUCAAGUGAGCUUACCUCAGCUCAAGUUUGGCUUGAAAUUAAUUUCGAGCUUAAAUUUAGGCUCAAGCUCGGCUUGAAAUUAAUUUGAGCCGAGCUCGAGCGAGCCUAGCUUCGAGUCGAUCGAGCUCGAGCCCUAAACAAGCCGCUUGAAAUUCUUAACAUUAUACAAUCUAUAAUUUAAUUUUUAUAAAACAUUAUCUAAAAUUUGAUACAAAAAAUGUCUAAUAGUUCAACAUACAAAAUGAAUGCAUAAAAUACGUUAUUAUAAUAUUAAAAAAUAUAGGGAAAGAGACUCUGCGAGCAAGUGAAAAAGAGAGAGAGAGCAAUUAAAGUAGGAUUUUGCUGGUUUAGUUUUGUGGGCCUAAUAAUCUAAAUUCUAUAUACAUAUAAUUAAAAUACAUAAUAUAUAUUAUUUUAUAUAAUUAAAGUAUAUAUUAUAUAUAAUUAUAUAUAGAGAGAGUUCGGCUACUAUAUUUUUAGGAAUAUAGAUCUAUUUGUACUCAUAAGUUUUAGACAAUUAGAUCUAUCAUUUUAAUUAUUUUCAUUAUAGGGGACCACUCAAUCCUAGGGGACCACUAUCAUCCUAACAGUUGAUCCAACGGUUGAAAAUUUAUAAGUAUAAAGGGGUCUAUACUCAUAAGAGUAUAAUAGUCUAGUCUCUCUCUCUCUCUCUCUCUCUCUCUCUCUCUCUCUCUCUAUAUAUAUAUAUAUAUANAUAUAUAUAUAUAUAGAGUCUGGCUACUAUACUAUUAUGAGUACGAUCGCCCUCGUACUCAUAAAUUAUUUUCGAUGAUAGAGCUUCCGAAUCGACGAUCCACACCGUUAAAUGUUAUCUAGAGCAUUUGAAACAUUUAGAAAUCAAAUUUCAUAAAUUUUCGACAUCAUUUAUUUUACGAUCAAAAGCUCACAAAAUUGACAAUUUUUAACGGCUGGUAUGGAAUACUUGCUAGUUUAACGGUGCAAAAGAAUCCAAAGAGGUUGAAUUUUUGAUAGAAAAUUCUAUUCACUACCUAGAUAAAGAUCAAUAACUCCAAUCUUAAAUUGAAGGAUCCGAUCAUCCAUUUUUAAGACAUCGUUCGAUUUUGACCGUUCAUUUUAUGCCUGCUUGAUGGACUUUAUUAUAAUUUCAAAAAAUUACGAAAUUUAUUUUCUAGAAGUUUCAAAUACUCUAGAUCAUAUUUAACGGAGUGGAUCGUCGAUUCGGAAGCUCCAUCAUCGAACUCAUAAUAGUAUAGUAGCCCUACUAUAUAUAUAUAUUGUCACGCCCCGGAUUACACAAUUCCCGGGCACGUCGAUAAAUCCGCCGUAUACAAAGAAUUUUUCUUGUAUACGAAGCGUAUCAGUAACUGAAAAUAUACAAUACUACAACCAGUAGUAUAGAGUUGUAAAGAAACCAAACAGGUAGAAUAAAACAAGUCUCACGUACAUACAAAAAAACGCUAUACAAAGGUACUCACUCCAGCGAGUUAUAACAACUGUAUGUACAUGAACUCAACAAAAUAAACCAGAACUACCUGCAGUGGUGGAUUCUUUAUCUCAGCAACUCGUCGGGUAGGGUUCUAACUCGCGACGCCCUUGCCUCGAUCAGCCUCGGAAGGCGCAGCAACUGAAACCAGUGGCUCUGCAAAACAGUGGUAACAACUGGACGUGAGAACUACUGUAAAAACAAGUAGUUCUCAGUGGGUACCGCCCUCAACAUCAUCGGUCCAUCCACUAAGACUACAGUCAGAAAUAAAGUAGUAAUUAAAGCUGGAAAGAAAUCUAUAGCUACCUGCCACUACACUAUCCAACUAUAGUAGCUGUCAAAUCUGACCCAAUCUCAAUAGGGACUGUGAACACACCCUUCCCGGGGACAGUAUAAUGCGUCAAAUGGAAAAAAAAAAAAAAAAAAAACUAAAUUACAGUUUAAUAGAGUGUAAUUAAAUCUUUUCACUGUCUUAAGCAAUAGAUGCUUUUUGGAGUAGCUUUCCCUAAGGAUUAUAAAACAGUACUAGAUUUAAAUCAAAUUAUAAUCUAGAUGUUACGGAUUUUGUAUUGACAAGUUUCGUGAUUUGAAUCAGAGUUUUGAAGAAGUCGGUUCGUGUUGUCGAAAGUUAAAGAAUUCAAAAUUUUGAGAAAAACUUAAAAAUAUCUCACAGUAUGAAUUACGAUACAUAGAUAAAUUUUUAAAUAUCUUUACGGUUUUCAUAACCUACACUAGAGAUCCACAAGCAAAAUAAAUGAAAAUUUGGGGGAAAAAAAAAUUGUGUAAUAGGAUGUGUUGGCUGAUGAAUCUUCGGUAUUUGGCAUUAUUAGUUGACUUGUAAAUUGUAAUGCAUUCCAGCCGAAUGAAAGAUAAUAUAUUAAAAAAAUAUAUAAAAAGAGGGGAAAAAAUUGUUAUUGAGUUUUAAUUUUUUGUUGUUAAUAAAUGUUUUCCGUGUGUAAAUUACAAGCAAUACAUUAUUGACUCGCCUUUUAUAGCACAUUUAGCAUGUCUGAAAAAAAAAAAAAAAAAAAGUUAGGACGAGCGCAUGAACAAAAAUAGAAAACGACGAAAGUAAAAUAAACAAAAACAAAAAAUAAAAAGAAUAUAAAAAUUUACGUCAAAAUUCUUUGUAUGGAAAAAAAAAAUAAUAGGCGAAGGAGGAGAGAGCUUCCCUAUGUACAAGAGAGUAUAAUAUUAUGAAAAUUACAAACGUUGCUUUGCGUCUAAGACGAGAAGAAAAAAAUUUCUUAAUGGGUUUUGCAUCGCGUCUACGGACUCAAACCUAUCAGCUCGAGCCCUUCACUACCCACCACAUACAUCCAUUUUUCCUUCACAAUUCAUUUUUCCUAGAAAACUGUGGCACCAUAGUUUAUUGCAAAACUGUAAAGGAAUCGGGAGGCCCAAAAUCAAAGUCGAUAACCAAAUUUCAAGGCACCUAUAUUAGAACUCUAUAGCAAAAAAAAAAAAAGAGUAUAAAAUUUAUCUAAAUUAUGGUUUAUUUUGAAUCAGUUACACAAUCUUCCAAUUUGUUUGAUUUGAGUCAGUCAAUGAUACUUUAACUUUACAAUUUAAACUAAUUACUUAUUUUAAUAAAUUUAUAAUUACAAGAAUUAUAUAAAGCAUACUGAUUAAAUCUGUAAACUUAAAUUUUAAAGUCAAAAUGCCGCCAACGGACUCAAAUCAAACAAUUUGAAAAAAUUAGAUAGUGAAUUAAAAUUUUUGCAAAAUAAAUAAUAAAUUCAAACCAGUCCAUAGUCCAGGUAGUUUGUGUACAUCUUUAGAUAAAAAAUUAUUGCCAACCUACUUGGUUCGGCAUCAGGUUGGCUUCUCAAAAGAAUUUCAUUUGGAGGGGCUUUGGAGUUAGGGUAAAAAACAAAUAAAUAAAUCAAUCAAUCAAUCAAUUACUACUUUAAUAAAGCGAAAAACAAAUUAACUAGAAAGGGACCCGUUGUUUAUAUAUUUAGAACAAAUGUAACAAAUGGAUAAAUUUUGGGGCAAUUGUGAGACACAUAAUAAGAUAUUAAUGAUCAAACAAUAUAGCUUCAAUUUGUUCGAAUCUUCUGAACAGCUCAUCACAAAUUCUCUCUCUCUCUCUCUCUCUCUCUCUAUAUAUAUAUAUAUAGAGUUAAGCUAGAAUACUUGUAAAAAUAUUAUGUGAGUGGUGUUUUUGAGUUUUUAGCCAUUGGAUGGAGAGAUGUGAGGUUGAGAUGAUGAUGGUAGGUGGUGGUAGGUGGUGGUAGGUGGAAUAGUAUUUGAUCCAAGGGCUAUUAGUAAUAUAGGAGUAGAUCCAAUGGCUAAAAACCUAAUAGCAUUAUGGAGGUGAUACUUGUAAAAGUAUUCUAGCUCAAUUCUAUAUAUAUAUAUAUAUAUAUAUAUAUAUAUGAUUAAGAUGAUUCGAAAUAUCUGUUCAACGCUUAUACCCCUUAUACACCUAUACAAUUAUUAUUCUUUAAGUUAACUUGGGUUAAAGAUGAGUUAAAUAUUAGAGUUAAAAAAAAUUAAAAUAUCUUUUUUGUUCUUAACUUAAGGGCAAAUAAGAAAUAUUAGUAAUGGUAGAAGAAUAUAUAUUUGAAAAGACUAAAAAUUAAAAGACUUUUUGUACUCCUAAUUUAAGGAAAAAUAAGAAAAGCUAAUGAUGAUAGAAGAGUAUAUUUGAAAAGACAAAAUAAUAAAUUCAUACAGAUAAUAAUUAUUGCUAACAGUUUAUUAAUAGAAUUUAACUCUAUAAGUAUAUUUAAAAUAGGUUGGAACAUAAAAAAGAUAUUUUCUUUUUUUUUUUGAGAAAAAGGUAGCAUGCUACCCGCUUCAUUCAAUGGAGAAGUGAACUUAGCUACAAGUGUGAGGCAACUCAUGCCUCGAAAGGGACGAAAAAAGAAGAAGAAGAAGAAGAAGAAGAAGAAGAAAUCGUCAGCUGAUUUAUCGUGCUAGUGACCAGAAAGAAAUUCCACCCAUUGGUCUGUUAACUGCUUAAUCUUACGAAUUCCAAUAAAAGGGUCAGGUUUGAUCGUUCUGAAUAUCACAUUAUUUCUUAUCUCCCAAGUGACCCACCAGUAUGCAAUUAAGCCUAAUGGCCCAGGGUUUGAAGGGAGCGAGCUUUUUCUGCAUAUCCAUGUGUCCCAGACUGAAGUCACGUCAUGACCCAAAUCCCUCGGUUGAAUAUUCUCCAAAGCCAAGGCCAUAAGGAAUAUGGAAAACACACACUGGGUAAAUAGAUGAUCCACAGUUUCUUCUGCCGUCCCGCAUAGACAUUUUCAAUAUUAACCUUCUAAAAGGAAUAAAUCAGAAAGUCGGAAACAUCAAUUUGGAUCAUGUAUAAAUAUAUGAUUAACGAUUUUUUUUUUUGAGAGAUAAGAUAGCACGCUACCCGCUUCGUUUAUUUCAUUUAGAAAUAAACUUAGCUGGAAAUAUGAAUCAGCUAGGAUUUAAACUUGAAUCUCGAAUGUCAACUAUCAAGUCUUUUAUUAUUUGCUCUAGGAACGGUCGGUUAUGAUUAACGAUUUCAACGAUUUGAAACAUAUGUUCAACUCUUUAUAUCCAAAGUAUAACAAGAAAAAAAAAGCUUUUUCGCUAUCUAUAUAUGUUGAUGUGGCAUGUGCCUCUCGUGAUCCAAGGAAAAUAAAAUACUUAAUUAUUAUUAGCACGGAAAAGGCAAGUGGAAUAUUUAUUUAUUUAAAAGGACAAAUAUUAAAUUUUUUCGCACUUAUUCAAAUAGAUAGGACGAUAACUUGCAGAUUAUUAUAUGACAUUAAAGUAUUCUAUUAAAGAUACUGCUCUGUGAUUUAUGAUAAUAUUACUUUACUAUCCUAGUUACCAGCCGAUUCUUAUAAUGAAGUCAAAAUAAAAUUACAAGGUAAUAAAAUGUAAUUUUUAAAAUCAUACAUAUUAAUAAAGUGAAAUAUGCUAAACUAGCUCCAUGAGGCAAAUUUAAGUUUACUUGCACUAAAUAAUACUCCAUGCAAUAUUUUUAGUACGUUAAUUAUUUUCUUAAGAAAAAAAAAAUAUAAUGCAUUUUAGGGUUGCAAAGAGCCAUAUGUAGGUACCUAACUAUAUAUACUAACUAAAAUUGCAAACACUACAUUAGAAAUAUAAUACUAUAUAUUGAAUAUGUAGAUAUAUAGAUUUUUUUUUCAAAUAAGAAGUUUAGAAUUUUAUUUUUGUUUGGCUAAAUUAUAAGAAAACCUCUUUUUCAAAACUCGAUUUUUCACUUUCCCUCCUGUCAUUUAAAAAUCUAUAAUUUGCUCCCUUGUAAAAUGAAAAAUGUUCACUUCACCCCCUGCCGUUAGUGAUCUAUUAGAAUUCCGUUUAUAAAAUAUUAUUAUAUAUUUUUUUAUGCCAAAAAUGUCUUCAGCCUUCUCCCAUGUUGCCAAAAAUGGUGAGAAGUAAAAUAGUCAUUUUGUCAUUACAGUUUAUACCGUACUCUCUGUGGCCAUUUUUUAUUUUAUAAAAGGGCAAAGUAUAGAUUUUUAAAUGAUAUGGGAGAAAAGUAAAAAAUCGGGUUUUGACAAAAAGGUUUAUAUAAUUUGGCCUAAAUUUCUCAUUCUUAAUAAGACUUUGGAUUGUUUUUUUAAUUGAAUCGCUCAAUCAUAUAGAAAUAAAAGACAAGGCGAAACAGACACUUAAUAUCUUGUCGAAUAUAAGAAAAUCGAUAAUGAUAAUGAUGGAAAGAUACUCUCAAUAGUGUGCUAAAUAUCUUAGAUUAAUCAUUUGAUAACCUACACAUUAACUACACUAAUAUUUUUAAUCCUAUAUAGGAUUGGCCCAUGCUACGUUUUUUAAAUUUCGUGAAGCACAUGGUUGGCUAUACAAAUUGGCAAUUAAAAUUUGCAUGAUAGAAUACAAAGUCAACUUAAUUCUCAUUUUUAUGUGUGUGUAUAUAUACACAUAUAACUAUAUACGAAUAUAUGUAUACGUGCACCUUUUUUUUUUUUUAAGUCAAUUAAAAUCGUACAACUCAUCCUGAUCUUAUCUUCUUUAAAUUUAUUUAUUAUUUAAGGAAGGUGGGAGAAGAAAUAAUAUUAAAAAAAUGUUGAACAAUUAAUUUUGUUAUAUAAAUAUAUGUUAAAAAAUGUAGGAAAAGAGAGUUGACGUUUCUGUAAUUCUUAUGGGGUUUUGAGAUACAAAUUAUGUAGAAUUAUACAUAACUCUAACAUAGAGUAAUUAAAAAUCAACUUAAACAUUUUUUAUAUACAUCAAAAUUAAGUUACCGAAAUCAGAAAAGUAAUUAAAUCUAAACAGUCGAAUAUGCAUGAUAUAUAAUAUGUAAAAUAUUUAUAUGUAAAUGGUUAUAAUUUUUGAAAAUCUGUGAGUAAAGUAUGGUUAAUAUUGACAUGUAUUGAAAUUUUUUAGAUCAUUAAUUAAUUUUGAUACCAAUUGUUGUUUGGAAAAUAGAUUUUGAAAUUUUGUAAAACGUUACCAUUAAGCCGCCAUUUAGUAUAUAGACUUUUUCUUAAAAAGAUGAUAAUAAUUAGACUAAUAAUAAUAAGGCUAAAAUAUAUAGAAAUUUUUUUUUGCACUUUAGCUCCAUUUUCAAUUAUUUUUUUGCAUUAAAAAUUGCACACCCUGGAGUGUAUCAUCAUCUCAAAUAGAUUUUAAAAAUUUAAAAAAUUGACAAAUUAGACUAUAAAACUUCACUAAAACGAGUUGACAUAUCGCAUUGCCCCACAACUCAACAUAUUUCCAAUUUGUAAUUUCAAAAAAAUAAAAUUUAGAUAAACAAGAUCUCUAAUUUUGCUAAUACUAUUAAAAUUGAUAGUUUAUUUAGCAAUUUAUUUAAUUUUUAUGAUUCUUUUGCAUCAUUUAUCAACAAUCUAAUUUUUUAAAUUUAUUUUUACAAAGUUUUAUAGCCAAAUUUAAUAAUUAUCUUAAACAGCUGGAUCUAUUUGAUAUAAUGAUAAAAUAUAGAAUCAUAAUUAAUGCAGUUUUUAUGCAAGGAUAAUUAAGACAAGCGCCAAAGAAGUAUUAAAAAAAAGCUUUUUAUAAUUUAACACCUAAUAAUAAUAAGAGCUAGGCUCUAUGCUUUCGAAAGUAGGAGGUCUCCGUGCUUAUAAAUUAUUUUCGAUGAUGGGAUAUCUGAUUCGGCGAUCGGUUUCGUUAGACAUGAUUUAUGCUAUUGGAACUAUUUAGAAAUCAAAUUUUAUAAUUUUUUGAAUUCGUUUAUCUAGUAAAUGAGUAGCCUCAAAAUGAACGGUUGAAAAUAAAAAUUUCAUAAAAAAUAGUCAUAAAUGACUCAAAUUUCAAAUCGAAAGUAUUGGUCUUGAUAUUGAUGUGAAGUAGAAUUUUUUAUUAAAUUUUCAUAUAAUUUGGAUAUUAAUUUCUACACCGUUGAACUUAAAAACGUGCUACAUCGGCGAUUAAAACAGUCAUUUUUUAGACCUUUUGAUCGCUUGGUAAAUAAUGUUAAAAAAUUAUAAAAUUUGGUUUCUGGAUAGUUCCAAUAUGGUAGAUUAUACCUAACGGAGCCGAUCACGUGUCGAAUUGGAUGUCCUAUCAUCGAAAACAACUUACAAGUACGGAGAUCUCAGUACUUUCGAAAGUAUAGAAGACGUGCUCUAAUACUAAUAAUAAUAAUAAUAAUAAUAAUAAUAAUAAUAAUUUAUUACAAGUUGGGUGGUGGUUGGUAGGGAAAACAAAAACAAAAAAAAAAAAAAGAAAAAAGAAAUAGCAUGAGUCAUUAUCAACCAUCAUCCCAGUGGAGAUUGUCUUCAGAAAUCUCCGCCUAUCUUAUGAGUAUUUAUUUCCCGUCAGAAUGACUCGUGAAAAAUGCUGUCUUCACAGCUCAUCAUCUGUCUCAUUUCUGAACACAUGGGCGGCUGGCUAUCUUCGAAAAAAAUUAAAGAAAAACCAAAAACUUAAAAAUAAAGGAGCAAAAAUUUUAUAAAAUAAUUAUUACUUACAAAGAAAUAGAUAAUGAACACAAUCUUGUUCAUAGUUCACAUAAGUUUCAUCCUCAUUUACAAAGAACAAACUGUAACACCUUUUACGUGAUCCCAAAUUUUGGGUCCCUGAUAAUAUUAUUGAUGUAUUAGUAUGCACAUAUGCAGAGGUUAGGAUUCAGAAUAUAAUGAUGAAUUUUAGGAUGUAAUAAUAAUAUUUAGAAUUUAGUAAUUAUUAUUCAGAGUAUAAAAUAAUGAUAUUGUCACGUCAUCAUCGCCAACAAUAACUAUUCAUUCCUAGUGCAAGUCGCAAAGAACUUCCUAGUUGGUAUCCUAGACUUCAAAUUCGAAACCUAAUUGCUUCAUAUUUUCAACUAAGUUUAUUUUUAAAAGAAAUAAACGAAGCCGGUAGUAUACUACCUUCUUCUAAAAAAAGGGAUAAACUUCAAAUACCACAUCUGUGGUUUUGCAUUUCUCACUUUAGUACUAUAUGGUUUAAAAUAUAUCAAUUUAGUACUCUGUGGUUUUUUUUUUUUUUUUUCACUAAUUUAAUAAAAAAAAUUAGUAAAGCGAUAACAAAAAGAGAAAAAUAAAAUUAUAGAGUACGAAAGUGAUACACUUUAAAUCUUAAAAUACUAAGGGGGCAUUUGGUUCCCCGUAAAAAUGAUUAGAAAAAAAUUUUUCACUUGAAAAUUAUUUUUCUAGCGUUUGAUUUGACGUAAAAAAAUUUUACAGGAAAAAUUAUUUUACAGAUUCUAUGGAAAAGCUUGCUUCGAAAACUCACCAUGGAAAAAUCGCGGCUCGUGCUUUUCCUUGCAUCGGGGUCCACGAGCUCAUGUAAGAGCUAGUGAACUGUGAGACCCCAGAUAGUCCUAUAUAUGAGAUAUAAUAGGGCUAAACUCUUAACCCAGCUUAAACAUUUUGGAUGGUGGUAAGAUCCAAGAGAUUAAGAGAGUUAAGCGUGCUAGGACGGGAGUAGUCCUAGGAUGGGUGACCCCCUGGGAAGUUAGGGCGUCACAGAUGGUAUCAGAGCCAAUUACCAGCCGGAAGUGUGAGAUGAGUCUCGGCUGAGCCAGGGUCUGGAUGACGGAGCUAGCGAGAUGAGCUCUCACAUCGCCUGUACUUGUGAGUUGCGCCUGACGAGACGCACUGCGGCUUAAAGCGCAUGGGAGAUGUGAGAUCCCAGAUAUUCCUAUAUAUGAGAUAUAAUAGGCUAAACUUCUUACCCGCUUAAAGGCAUUUUGGGAUGGUGGCUAGACUCAAGAUCGUUUAAGAGAGUUAAGCGUGCCUAGAGCGGAAGUAGUCCUAGGUAUGGUUGACCUCCGGGGGAAUGUUGGGCUGCGCGUCAAUGGACCGAGGUAGUGGUCACACUGGACCACUCAUAUACCAGUUAUAUAAUAUAUAUAAUGUAAAUAUAUGUACUGUAUAUAUAUAUGAUAUAUAUAUAUAUAUAUUGUAUAUAUAGUAUGUAUUAUAUAUAGUAUAUAGAUAUUAUAUAUGUUUAUAUAUUAGUAUAGUUAUAUUAUAUAUUAUAUAUAUAUAUAUAUAUGUAUAUAUAUACAUAGUAGGUGUUACUUGCUAUUGAUGAGCACAGCAGCCUUGUGCUCUACUAACUUUUAAUCCCCAUCAAAGUAUUGAUCAGUGGUAGCGGUGAAAGGAAAAAAAAUAAUUAGAGUAAAAAUUCAAAGAGAACAGAAAUUGAGAAACACCAAUUUCUCUCUAAUUUACUCCUCCUUUCUCACCCAAACAUUAUCAAAUUUGAUGGGGCGGUUAAGAACUUAGGAGACAAAAGGUUGUUGUGCUCCUUAUAUAUAUAUAUAUAUAUAUAUAUUAUAUAUAUAUAUAUAUAUAUAUAUAUUAUAUGGCCAAUUUGCCAUAAAAAAUUCAUUUAUUUUGGCGCUUUUGCAAAACCGGUGCGCACUUUUUCGUUUUGCAGAUUCGUCGUCCUUUUUCGUGCCGCCCUGACAAAAUACCCUUUAUUACUUUUUCUACUUUCCGUCUUUCUCUCUGCCUUUCAUGUUUGCUAUCGUUUUGGUUUUUUUUUCUGCCGCGCGACGCGUUCCCCUCGAUCCUUCCUGCGUAUCGUCCCAUCACCGCCGCGUUCUCCCGAACCGCCCCGCCUCGCUCCCUCCCCGACGACCCGCCACCUCGACUGCCCCACGACGCUCUCUCCGCCGCCGGCCGCGCGAUUCUGUUUUUUUUCUCGCCGCGCCGCCCGUUCUCCUCGAAUCCUCCUGCGCCGUCCCCAUCACCGUCGCGUUCCCGAACCGCACCCUCCUCGCUCCCCCCGGCGACCCGCACCCCUCGACGGCCCCCACGGCCGCUCCUCCGCCGCCGGCCGGAGCGACCCCCGCCGGCCGGCGGCGGAGGAGCGGCCGUGGGGGCCGUCGAGGGGUGCGGGUCGCCGGGGGGAGCGAGGAGGGUGCGGUUCGGGAACGCGACGGUGAUGGGGACGGCGCAGGAGGAUUCGAGGGAGAACGACGGCCGCGGCGAGAAAAAAAAAAGAGCGAUAGAAUUACACCAUUACACCAUUACCAUUACAUCAUUACCAUUACACCAUUACACCAUUAGCAUUACACUAUUACACCAUUACACCAUUACCAUUACACCAUUAUUAUUACACCAUUACACCAUUACACCAUUUACGCCAUUAUACCAUUACACCAUUACACCAUUUGCCGACGGAGAAGAACACGCGCGGGUCUUUUUCAUUUUCUUCUUCUUUUUCAUUUUCUUCUUCUUCCUCCUGCGGAGGACCUCGACUCCCUCGAUCUCCGCUGACGGGGGCGCCCCUUCCGCCGCCGCCUCGGCGGCGCGCGGCGGCGCCGAUGGCGUCGUCGGACGAGGAGACGUUUUACACGCCGCAGCGCUCGGCGGAGUCGGCGUACAGCGACAGCCCCAGCAGCCCCAUCUCGCGGCGGUGGUAUCGAAAGCUCGUCGGCGAUGGUGAGGGAGCUGCUCGAGGUGUUGCUCGCGCUGUUGAGCUCGGGCUUGGCGGCCAACGACCUGCGCUGGUCGACGAGGCCGCGCAGGCCGCGGGCUGCGACGAGCGGAGAAGCUGCGAAGCUCGGGGCCAGCUCCGCCACCACCGCCGCGUUGCUCCGUCGCAGCCACUCAUUCUCCUCCACCAACGCCGUCGCUCCUCCUACGUUGGCGGCGACGGCGGCGGAGGCGGUAGAGGUGGGGCCGAGGACGAGGAAGCGAGGAGGAGAGGGGGAGUCAGUCUAGGGCUGGGGGUCCGCGGCGACGGGAUCGAAGAAAGGAGAGAGAAAAAAAAGAGGAGAGAGAAAAAUAUAUAAGAGUAUUUUGGUCAGUUUGCUGAAAAAGUGGACCGAACCUGCAAAAACGAAAAAAGUGGUCCGGUUUUGCAAAAAUCCAAAAUAAGUAGAUUUUUUAUGCAAAAAGGCCUAUAUAUAUAUAUAUAUAUAAUAAUUUAUUUUAUAAUAUUAAAUAUAUAUUAUUAUUAUAUAUUAUAUUAUAUAUUUAUUAUAUAAUAUAUUUUAAAUAUAUCUUGUUUAUAAAUAUAAAUUAUAAUAAUUAAAUAUAUUAUGAUAUAGUCGUAAUAAUAUAUAUUAGAUAAAAACUAUUUAUAUAUACUUUUUUCACUAUGUGCAUAAUAAUAAUUAUUAUAUAUUAAUACUACUUUAUUUUAUAAAAUAUUAUUAUAUAUAUAUUUUUUUCAUAAACGAGCUUUUUUUUUUUUUUAUACUUUACAAGCACAAACGGGAUCGAAUGAUAGAUUAUAAUUAUAUAUAAUAAUUAAUUUUAUAGCAGUGACUUGACUCAUCAACGGUGACCAUUGAAGUUUCUGGCCAGCCGCCCUGUUUUGAUCAUAACACUUUCCCCGUGGCCAAGUCUGCCCUCAUACCUUUUAUAUUAGUGCUCCUAUAUUAUAUUCCUCAUAUUCCAUUAUUAUUAUAAACACCAAAAAUCGCUAAACCCAAAAACUUCUCCCUCACCUCCACCCCCCCCCACCCAAUAUCAGUUCAGAUGAAACAUGCUGUACACAUGAGUCUGCAGUCGUGAGGGAUUUAUUUGCUGUGCAGAUCAAUAGCAUAUAUAUAUUAUAUAGAUAUAUAGUUUGGAAUAUGAAGCAGCAGCGAGUAGUUGUAGUAGAAGUAGGAAGAAGUGUAGUAGGUUGGUGGUGACGCGCGCGGUGUUUUGUUUGGAUCUGUGAUCGAUCGAGUCGUAUGUGGUUCACAACGUGUGUGGACGCGCAUGACGGGGAUAGAACUUUCAGUAAGGAUGGAAGGCAGGGGAAGAUCAGGUGGGGAAUGUGUUGUGCUCAUGGGCGCAACGUCCUCGACUUUAGGCGACUUCACUGCCUCCUCUUCACGGCCUCCCGAGUUCUCUCGGACCCGGCGGUUCUCUUCCAACUCGUCAGUGCCACCCACGUGUCGGCGGUAAUCAACUCGUUUUUUUUUUUUUCUUCUCUUUUCUUUACAACAUAAACACGUUCUCGAGAGACAAGUGACAAAAAAUUUGAUGGUUGGUAUCCAAAACAAGUUCGAUUCCUAGUCGAUUCACUUUCUUAGUAGUUUAUUUUAUAAUGAAAUAACGAAAGGUGACCAGGAUAGCUACCUAUCUCUUUUUCAAAAAAAUAAAAAAAAAACUUUUAGUUCUAGUCAUGUAUUGCCAGUUUUUUUUUUCUUAUUUUUUUUCGUCUAGUAUAGUUAUCGUGUAGUGGGUAUAUAUAGUAUAUAUUAUAUAUAUAUGUAUAUAAUAGUAUAUACUAUAUUAAUAAUUGCCCUUUUCACGAAUUUUAGUAUUUAUUAAAUCAAAAUCCAAUAUGUGUUGACUGAAUGAUAGGAUGAUAUUAGUCCUUAGGGUUGAUUGGUUCUCCAUUGGGUUAUAAUAUUUAAUCCAAUGGUUAAAAAUAAUAAAAGGAAUUGAUCUAAAGGCUAAACUUGAUAGUAAAAAGGGCCUUUUGCUAUUAAUAGUAUUCUAGCCUAACUCUCUCUCUCUCUCUAUAUAUAUAUAGAGCUAAGCUGGUAUACUAUCGGUAGCACGGAGCCCUCCGUGCUACCAAGUUGCUUUCAAUGAUGUAGUUUCUAAAUUGACGAUCGGCUCCCUUAGACUUGAUCUAUACUAUUGAAAGCAUUUGAAAAUUAAAUUUCAUAAUUUUUUUACAUCAUUUACCUAUUAAACGAGUAGUCUAAAAAUGAACGUUGAAAAUAAAAAUUUCAUAAAAAAUAAUGAUAAAAGAUUUGAGUUUAAGAUCAGAGGUACCGAUCUUACUCUAAAUAGUGAAAAGAAUUUUUUAUAAAAAUUUCGUCAGAUUUAGAUUGUUUUAUACUGUUAAAUUCACAAACGAAUCACAUCGACUAUUAAAAUUAUUAAUUUUGAGACCUUUUGAUCACUAGCUAAAUAAUGUCAAAAAAUUAUGAAGUUUAGUUUCCAAAUACUUUUAAUAGUGUAAAUCAAGUUUAAUUAAGCCGAUCGUCGAUUUGGAAGGCGCAUCAUUGAAAACAACUUGGUAGCACGGAGGGCUCGUGCUAUCGAUAGAAUACCAGCCUAACUCUCUCUCUCUCUCUCUCUCUCUCUCUCUCUAUAUAUAUAUAUAUAUAUAUUACGUCAUUAUCAUACUUAAAAGUUAUUUCGAUAAUAGGAUUUUCGAUUUGACGAUCGGCUCCGUUAGGUAUAAUCUACUUUAUUGGAACUAUUUAGAAACUAAAUUUUAUAAUUUUUUGAUAUUAUUUAUCACGUGAUCAAAAGGUCUCAAAUAUGAACUAUUUUAAUGGCCGGUGUGGCAUAUUUUUAAGUUCAACGGUAUAGAACAAUUCAAAUUAUAUGAAACUUUGAUAAAAAAUUCUACUUAACAUCCAUAACAAGAUUAAUACUUAUGAUUUAAAAUUUGAAUUUUUUAUCACUAUUUUUUAUAAGACUUUUAUUUUCAGUUUAUUCUUAGGCUACUCGUUUACUAGAAAAAUGGAGUCAAAAAAUUAUAAAAUUUAGUAUCUAGAUGGUUUCAAUAGCGUAGAUCAUGUCUAACAGAACCGAUCACUAAAUCGGUUGUUCCAUCAUCGAAAACAACUUACAAGAACGGAGGCCUCCGUACUUUCGAAAACAUUGGAGCCUAGUUCUAUAUAGAUAGUAUAGCUACCAUGCUAUUAGAAGAAGCAUAAUAGGAUUAAUGCUUUAGAUUUUUUUAGUUUUUGAAUCAAUCUUUUUAAUCAUUUCUGAUCUUUUGAUUAAUAUUAUUACCCUAUAUAAGGCACUCAUUCCUAAAGAGACCACUCAUAUGUAGGGGGGACCACUAUCAUCCUAACCAUAUAAUUCGUAAUCCAAAAGUUAAAAAGUAUGAAGCACCAAGUCCUUAAUGCUUAUGAAACAUAGUGUAGUUCUACACUAUAUAUAUAUAUAUAUAUAUAUAUAUAUAUAUAUAUAUAUAUAUAUAUAUAUAUGAGUCCGACUGAAAUACUAUCGAUAGCACCAAACAAUUGAUAAAAUUCAAGAAUAACAAUAUCUUAAGUAUGGCAAUAAUCUAAAUUUUUUUUUUUUGAGUUGUUGCCAUACUUAAGAUAUUGUCAUUCUCGAGUUUUUUUUUUAAAAAAAAUUAUUCAUCAUUUGAAUGUUUGUCAUAGUUGACAGUUUUUUAAUUUUCAGUAUUUGAUUCAACUAUAAUUAAUUUCUUAAUUUUAUCAUGAUCCUCCAUUAGUUUGAAAAUUUUACAUGUUCCUUUAUUCCAAAAAAAGAUCCUUUAAUUUAUAAGUAUAAUAUCUUUGUUGUUCUUUAGAAAAACUAAGAGAUUAUUAAUUUCCUUAAACAUAAAAUAUAAUCAGAAGCAGACUCAAUCACCGAGCCUUGAUUUUUCACUUCAAUUUGAACCAAACAGGUCUAAAUCUAGUUUUUAUUUUUAGUUAUAAAUUUGAUUUAUUAACUAUACAAUACUUAAAUUUAUAAAUUGUAUUUUUUAUUUUUUUUUAUUUUUUUAUAGGAUUAAGUCGUAUAUAUGCCUAGAUCUGCGUGACAUUUAAUUAAUUAUAUUUUGGUGGUACUUAGACAGCUAAUGAAUGAAUGGAUCUGAGCUGUUAAGAAUUGAAUUUGAUGUUGAAUUGACUACUAAAAAGCUAUCAAAUUUAAUUAUUAUUUACUAGCACUACAACAAAAACUGUUUAUAGCGACACUUUUAAAUGUAGGUACAUGUUAAAAAAGUGCUGCUAGCUAAAAUUACCGACACUUUAAAAAGUGUUGCUAUAUGGGGGUUCGCUAGGUAUAUAGUGACAGUUAAAGAGUGUCGCUAUAACCUAAAAGAGUGCUGCUAAUUUACCAACACUUAUUUAAGCAUUUAGCAACCGCCGAAACUCUAUCUCGUUGGCUGCGGUGACGGAGGAGGACGACAGGAAAGGCUCUUCGUCUAAAAUUUCAGUGGAUUGAGUGAAGAGAGAAGAAAAAAUGGUAAUUAAUUUUUUUUUUUUUUCUUUUCUGUUUGUAAUCGGGCCAAAUGGACUGGGUGUGGUGGGUUGAGUAGAGUAAUCUUUUAUUUUUGGUUGGAUUGGGCUUUAUAUUUAGGCAUUAGUAGAUAUUUUUUUAAGUUUUAGCAUAAAUGGGACACUUACUUAAAAGUAUCCCAAAUAUGUGUCCCUAUAAUCUAAUUCUGUUAUAGUGUAGCUGCAUUUAAUUAAUUUUAAAUUAAAUUAUACAUUUUUUAUUUUCAAAAUUUUGAAUUAUUAUAACUAAAUCUUAGAGUCCAAUUUAGUUACUUAGAUAUGCAUAUUUUAUGUAGUGAUGUGAAAAUAAUGCGACAUAGUAGUUAUAUCUCUCUAGUGGCUAAAAUACUAUUAUAUUAUUAUAAUAUCGGAACAUAUAUAGCAUCAUUUAGUCAACUUAAUUAAACUUUAGUAAAAAUUAUAAUAAAUUAAACUUAGAAACUAAAAUAACAUGUGCCACCAAAAUUUGAAGAUCAAAAGCACAAUUUUCCUAGCAAGGUGGACCAACUCCCUAUUAACUCAAAAUCUCACAUGAUCAAAUUAAUAUUAUGUGCCGAAAACGCUUCAAUAUUUGUUAAUUUUGCGUGGUGUUUUCGAUUGUAUAGAUAUCAUAUAUGUCAACACAUUAAGCUGACGUAUUCUGAUGUGACGUAUAGAUAACGAUAAUAAGGGGAAGGUAGGGAAGCCGGCGUUUCUGGAGGAGUGGGUGACGACACUGACGUCGAUAUCGGCGGGGGAGUCGAAGUUCAAGGUGACGUUCGACUGGGACGACAGUCAGGGCAUCCCCGGCGCGGUGAUCGUCAAGAACAACCAUCACUCGGAGUUCUACCUCAAGACCCUCACCAUCGAAGGCGUCCCCGGCCGCGGCCGCAUCCACUUCGUCUGCAACUCCUGGGUCUACCCGGCCGAUAAGCACAAGCAGGACCGCGUCUUCUUCACAAAUGAUGUAUUUGGUGGGAGAACUAAAACUGUCAGAAUAUCUGAACGAAAAAACCUUGAAUGGUUCUCCUGUGUGUUACCUAAAAGAUCGUUUUGAUAGUAAACGAAUAUAAACCAGUAAUACUUAACACUCGUACUCACAUCAAUGAUAAAUAUGAUAAGUAUGUGAAAAUUAAUUAUAUGGGCAUGUUUGGUUCGCCGAAAAUGUAACAUCGAAAGUGGUACUUUUAGAAAGUGACGUUUUAUCAAUUGUUUAGUUUACGAAAGUGGAUAUGAAAGUCACUUUACGAAAGUAAACUGAUAAAGUGAGUUAUAACUAAAUCUCACUUUUUUUAUUUCGACUAAAAAAAUUCGGAAGUCACCGAAAGUGGAGAGCUUAUCUAAAAGAUUAUAUUUGGCCUUAACUUUAAUACUUAAAUUUAUUUUUAAAGUUUAAUUUGACUUUAAAUUUGAAUUAAAAUUAUGAUCACAUUUUGAAUUUUAUUUGUAAAUUAAAAUUUAACAUAAAAUUUUUUAAAUUCAAAUUUAUGACUUUAUAUUUAAAUGUAAAAUUUAAAAUUUAUUUUUAUUUAAAUUGGAACUCUAGAAUUUAAUUUUAAAUUUUAAAUUUUAAAUUUUAAUCAAAUUAUUUUUAGUUAAGAACUUCAAUUUUAAUUCAAAUAAAAUUCAAAUUGAACGAAACGGAUAACAUUUUGUUCUUACUACAUUUGUUCUUCAUCUAUACUGUUUGGCAUUUUGAUCUUUUUUUUGACACAUUUCAAAUUGUAGUUCCUGCUAAGUAGCCUAAAUCUCAAUCUUGAUGCAGACAUACUUGCCAAGCAAAAUGCCGGAGCCGCUGCGGCCAUACCGGCAACAAGAACUGCUCAACCUCAAAGGCGCCAACGUCGCGCCGGGACCGCUCAAGGAGCACGACCGCGUCUACGACUACGACGUCUACAACGAUCUCGGGGACCCCGACAAGGGUGCAAAUCAUAUGCGCCCUAUACUUGGUGGCUCCCGAGAGCAUCCCUACCCCCGUCGCUGCCGCACUGGCCGCCAUCCUACAAAAACCGGUACACCUAUUUCUCGUG